rnacentral:lncRNA from 1 species
AACCAAAUGGGGAGAGAAUUGGGGGAGGGAGAGACAAGUAGGCGAUGGGAGAUGGGCAAUGGUGCUCGAUUCCUAAUUUUAAAGCAAUAUAGAUAUUGGAGUAAGUUGAUCUCAAAAUUUUUCGAGUAUGUGUGUGAAGAAGUGAGUUAAUUACUUUUAGUUAAAAUAAAGUGAUAAAGUUUGAAAGAAGAAAAUAAAAUCUUAAUGGAUUUGUUUAUCCAUAAGUUUAUGGCAGGUAAUAUGGUACGAGUACAUGAAUUUCUUUCAAGUCACUUGAUGUCUCGGGUAUAUGCUCAUGUUGACUUCCAUUAAUAUUUUAUCAAGCUGAAGUUACAAGUUUCAUCAAAUUGACACAUCAAAUUUUUUUAUUCCAGAGAGUAGGUGGUGAAGUUACGUACGACCGACUGGGGUCUUUGUUUAAUGUUUUCUUUUGGGCUAACUUGCUAGAGUAAGUCCUCAUCAUAUAUAUUAAUCACAACGGUGAAGAAAAACUGUAGAGUUGGCACGAAAAGGACUUCCUAGCGUCAUCAAAUUAACGUCCAUCAAUUUUAUAUCCUAAAGAGUAGGUACUGAAGUCAUGUAUGACCAUGAUCAAUUGGAGUAUUCCUUUAGUGUUUUCUUUUGGGCUAACUUCCAUGAGUAGGUUCUUAUCUCGUAUAUUAAUCACGACAACGAAGAAAAAUUGUAGAGUUGGCACGAAAAGGACUUCCCGGCGACAUCAAAUUGACGUCCAUCAAUUUUAUACCCUAAAGAGUAGGUACUGGAUUUAUGUAUGACCAUGACUAAUUGAAGUCUUUCUUUAAUGUUUUCUUUUGGGCUAACUUCCAAGUGACGUUCGGUGGCCAUUAAAUAAUUUCCAAGUAGAAGAACGGCAUCUUUCAAGGAAUUCUCAUCGUCAUUAUUUGUGUUUCUGUUGACUGAUUCGAUUGAUCCCAUUUAUUCCAGGAAACCCGAGCUAGCUCCCAGCAGGUCAUUUCCUUUAUGACAUCUCUCUUCCUCCCGCAAAAUCUCACUUUAAAGUCUUCAAUUUUACAUGGCUCUUUUCUCUCACAAAUUGUAUCUCUAACCGAUAUGUGGNNNNNNNNNNNNNNNNNNNNNNNNNNNNNNNNNNNNNNNNNNNNNNNNNNNNNNNNNNNNNNNNNNNNNNNNNNNNNNNNNNNNNNNNNNNNNNNNNNNNAAGUUGCCGUUACGUCCUCAGUAAUCUAUUGAGUUAGGUAAAUUCGGCAUUUAGUCAAAACAGAUAGUAAAAAUAGAAGUGUUCCAAGAUUUUGUUAAAAAUGAAGCAUGCAUAUAGAAUUUCAGAAGGGGCUAUUUCAAAAUGGGUCCCUAUAGUCAUGAUGAAAGUAAAAUUCUUCAAUUUGAAUCAGAUCAAUUUAAUUUCUCAGUCGUUGUCAUCUUGUGAUCCUCAGUCCGCUCCCUCGACGUCUGCUCCCUACUGGAUUAUCUGGCGGCGGUUAUAUCUUGGUGCUAAAUGCAGCCAAAACACAUGAGCUGAUCGUGUGGGUUGGCAAGGCAGGAACGUUUACCGUUCAUACUGUUGUCUUUUAGGAAAAUUAAACGGUCUAUACUUAUAUUACUACUAUACUAGCCUAUAGAUCCGUGCUACACAUGGGAAAAAGACUUGUGGAAUAGAUUAUUGGAAAUAAUUAUUCUACAAGUACAUUGAAUCAACGUGAGAAUAAGAGAUACUCGUAAUAUUAAAAGUGAUUAUUCUAGGAAAAUUAUAGUUCAAUUAAAGUAGAAAAAUGAAAGAAAUUUUUUUUCAAAAGAAAGUUAAAAUAGAUGUUACUCAUGGCAAGCGGUUCGUGACAAUCACCAUUGAAAAUCUUUUGGAAAAACCCCUUUACAUACAAGAUAGAUUCAUUAUAUCUAUCAUUAUAUUUAUACGCAAGACAUUUGAUUUUAUAAGAUACAUUCUAAGCUCUAAGAAAUUAAGGUUUCGGUUUUUGUGCAAGCACAUCAACAAUUUGCAUUUUACUAACUUAUGAACUUUAAUAAAGAACAUAAACAACAAAGUAAAUUACGGGACGUUCACGUUGCUACCUCAUCACUUUAACUUUUGGCCCAAAUGUUCUUAGUAUUAUUGGUUUUGCAAUUGGUAAAUCAAGCAACUUAUUAUAAUGAAAAGGUUUAAUUAUGUUCCUCAAUCCUCACUCUGUGGCAUGUAAUUCUUCAAGUGUACCCAACUUGCUAAAAGUGAGAAAAUGCUAAUAGUAAUAGUAAAUUAGUCAUUUUCUCACUUUUAGCGAUGUUCAAAAUUAUCAAGUUUUUCAAAUCCCGAAUAAAUUCAGGUAAUUUUCAAUUGGUGUGUCCAUAACAAGUUCAAUUUAGUCAACCAUUCCAACUUUCUCAAAUUUAAUCUGGGAUAUGAUAGGGACAUAAUCAACUCAGGCAUAACCAAUAGCAUUUGGAAAUCUCGUUCUGCCAAAUGACAUGCCGUGCAAUUUUGUGAGGUGUCCAACUCUCUUAAAGUCUAUAUGAGUUGAAGCAAUCUCUCAAGUUAAGGGUAGACAAAUUUACCAUAUGGCUAAUUGAUUUAGAAAGUCCAAUCAAUAUUUCGCAACCAUUAGGCAUCAAUCUUUACCUUCUUCAAUAAAGCUUUUCCCGCUAUCUUUUUCUUAACAUAAUCAGUGGACUUAUAAAAAGGUAAGGUGACGCCUAAUGUGAUUUUCCCAUCUACAGUUUAUUUUUGUGGGUUCCGUAUUUUCCCAGAAUUUUCCUCUCUAAUGUUUUUUUCCCUUCCUUUUUUUUUUCCUGACAUUGAACAAAGAAUACGCAAUUCUUUAUGCAUAAUGUAUACUGGCGACGGUGACAUCCUACACAUUUUUUCGUUGGCCUUACUGACAAUUUCGUUAAAAAUCCAUCUACUUGAGUUUUAAAUGAUAAAAUCAAAUAAAUAAUAAAACAAAAUAAAAAGGAAAAGUUGCAUGUACAGAAAUUUCAUGUUUGGUAAUCUUUAGUGGACCAAGCAACAAAAAAAGAUAUCGUAAACAAAAUCGAUCUAGCAGAUAUAAAUAAGUACAUGUCAGCUUGAAGGUGGAAAAGAUAAAAGAGAUAAUUGAUCUUUGUGAUGCAGAUUAGGCUAACGACUACGAUAUACAUAGAUCAAUAUUUUCAGGAAGGGACUUAUCGGGAUCCAAGUUUGUAGAAUUUGGAAAAUAGUUUGGCAUCUCAAGCAGGAUGAAGGUAGCAGAAGUUGAAGGAGAGCGUUACAAAUUAAAGUUGGAUACUCACACUGAUCCCCUGAUUUGUAAUAGUACCAAUUCUACAUAGUGGUAAGCUUGCAAUGGAGUUUUCUUUUGGCCAAUUGAGAACAGAAAAAUCAUGGUAUCAACUAUUAUAGUUAUUAUUCACAGGUUUUUGAAACAGGACGCUUCGAUAGCUACAAUUACAAGAACGCCCCGAUGUCACGAGCACUUGCAGAGAAUUACUAUCUCAUUCUCUUAUAACAAGUUAUCUACUGGCAACUCUUUGAGUAUUCCCAAAGGUAUGAGCAUUUGAGGAAAAUUACAAUCUCUCUAGAAACGCAACUGUUUGUGUAUUUAUUUCUUUUUCACUUAAAGAGUUAUGCGUAACCCAAGCAGUCUCUUUUUUGUUUCAUUAAAAAAAAGAAUUGUCUCUCGUAUUAUGACACAACUAACAUGUAAAAGAAUAACUGCCAAAAAGUCUCUUUAAUAAAAAUAGAUUAUGACCAAAAUAAACACAUUACGGCCUAAACAAAUUACACAUUAUUAAUGCAGAAAAAGCCAUGAAAGUAGGCAUAGAAAAAUUACUAUUACUUAAGCACAUUAAUGGUGUGGCUGUAUAUAUUAUCCGAAUUGGAGCUAAGUGAGUAAUAUUCGAGCUCCAUCAAAAAGCAAACUACUGAUGCUCUGACUAUUAGAGAGAAUUCGUUGAUGAACACUUACUUAUAAUUAAACGUGUCAAACGGAUGGAUUGGGUCAAUUUGAGGUAAGUUGAAAAUGUUUUUGAUUCAAAUUGGCUCAUUCAAUCCAUAUUAAUCUAUUUUAUCUAACACAACUUUCGCAACCAAUACUUGAUUCAACUCAUAUACCCAACCUGACUCGGGUUCCAACUCUUACCAAUUUUUCUCCUUACAAAUGGAAAAUAGCACACUGAAAAGAAAAAAGGAAAAAAAAAAAGAAGCUAACCAGAUAAAAAACAAAUUACACAUGUAAAAAUUAACAAAUAACAAAUUACAUAAAAACUUAAUGAAUCAAGUUAUUAGAAGACAUUCCUUGUUUUAUCUCUUGGUUCUAGAAAUUCGAUCUAAUUUAACGGAAGAGAUCGUGUCUGAAAAAAUAUAUAUGGCAUAAAGUUAAUAUGAUAUUCAUCACUAUUAACACAUGCAAUUGAUGAUUACAUAAAGUUUGUUUCCGGCCAUCGUAGUCUCCUCACCAUGAAAUUGUACAUGUGCUUUAAAUUAUACAAAGUUACGUCUUUUAUGUAUGUCAUUCACACACGAAAUCUUGUGUGCUCGUAUUUUAAUGCAAGGUUGUCAUAUUUUUAUCAGAAUUAACAAAAUUUGUCAUACUUUUAUCACAACGACGAAGACAAAAUGCAAGGUUGGCACCGAAAGGACUUCUUGGCGACAUCAAAUUGAUGUUCAUCAAUAUUUUAUUCAGCUAAACUUACUCAUAUUGCCGUCCAUCAAUUUUUUAUCGCAAAGAGUCGACUAAAUUAUGCAUGACCAUGACCAAUUUAAGUCUUUGUUUAAUGCUUUCUUUUGGGCUAACUUCCAAGCUGUCACUUGGUGGCGAUUAAAUAAAUACGAGGAGAAAGAACGGUAUUUCCCCAAGAUUUCGAAUCGUUAUUAAUUGUGUUUUUAUGGACUGAUUCGAUCAAUCACAUUUGUAUCCUGAAAACCCGGGUAGCACUCAGCAUGGUUAUUUUCCUUUUUGACAUCUCUCCUCCUCUCGCAUAAUCUCACUUGGAAAUCUUCAAUUUAAUAUAUCUCUCCCUCCUGAAAUAGUAUCUCAAUUCGAUAUAAAGAAAACACAGUAUUGCUUUGACUGAUUUUUGAAGUAUAACCUCAAUAUAAUUAACUGUCGAAGAACGAAGUGACUAUUAUGUCUAAUUAGAUCUACUUAGUGAUUUAUGUUUGGGAGCAAGUUUGAAUUAGGUGAACUCGGCAUUUAGUCAAAACAAGAGUAAAAUAGAAGCGUUUAAAUAUAUUCUUAGAAACAGACCAAUAUAUAUAUUCAUAGGAAAAAAAAUUCUUAAAAAUAAUGGAUACAUAUGACGUAUAACAAGGGGGCAAUUUUAAAGUUGGUUCCCAGUACUCUUCAAUCUGAUUGCUAAAGUUUAAUUUUGUUUGACUUGGCUUCUUUUUUUUUUUUUUUUUGGUUGGAAAAGCGAUUUACUUCAUUCAAUAAAGUUCAAAGGAUAACAUAAGUUAUGGGUUUUUGCACCUAAAAGAUCCCAUAGAGGUGAUGAUGGCACUAUAAGCCAAUUGUGAGGAAGAGCCUUCUUGCUAUAGGUUUUGGCGAGCCAAUUUGCAACUUGGUUUGAUUUCCUUGGGGCGGAUGCCGGUUCCACCAAACUGGAUCAGGCGAGCAUCUCUUUACAGUCUUCAAUAAUGGGUCUCAGCUCCCAUGGGCUUGGGUUUUGGCCCACUAUCAUCUUCACAAGUGAUAAAUUAUCUGACGCCUAUCUCCAAGUGCAAAUCUUAUCUCCGUCACUAAAAUGGAGAACUUACGCAAGCGAAAAGUAGUACCGGAUCCUUACCGCUCACUGUGCAAAGACCGGGCGGAAUCCACAUAGCAUCUCCUUCUCUCGUCCUUGGACGCGAGACAUAUGGGCUUAACCAUCCCUAAACAUUCAGGUUUCUUUCCAAGGGUUAAGCAAACUAGAGAUAGAGCUAACGCAAUUCUUCAAAAGCACAGAAAACGCACCUUCUCUGGCACUUGUAGCCCCAUUUGGUUCAAUUUUGGGGAAAUGGCUUUGCAUUUUCCCAAGUAUUUUGAGUGAAAGAGCAUUUUGGGAAUGCAAAGUGUGUUUGGGAACUCUUUUGCAAAGUAGUUUUGAGGUGAAAAGAAAAAGUAAAAAAAGAAAGGAAAAGAAAAGGGAGGAGGAGAUGUAGCUCUCGGCAGUGGGGCUGGUGGUGGUGGGGAGGCGGCUGGUGGCGAUGGAGAGGCGGCUGGUGGCGGUGGCGGUGGCAAUGGAGGAAGGCGGCUCGCCUGAGGUCGCCGACCUCAGGCGACGCCUGGGUCGCGCGACCUAGGCGACGCCUGAGUCGCGCGCCCUCAGGCGACACCACCUGAGGUCGAGUGACCCAGGCGACUCCGCCUGAGGCCGUGCGACCUCAGGCGACGUCGCCUGGGUUGAUUUCUCCCUCCGAUCCUUCUUCGGCCUCCAGGUAGCGUGCUCUUGAACUCACGGCUGUCGUCAUCUUCUUCCAAUCGUCGCGGGUCUCGCGAAGGAUUUUCUCGCCGUCGUCUUCUGGGAGUGUUGAGUGCCGCCGUCGCCGUUGCCAUCUGGGUGCGUCGCAUGGGUCGCCUGACCUCAGGCGCGACCCAGGGCGUCGCCUGAGGUCAAGCGACCCAGGCUACGCCCGAGGUUGCUCGACCUCAGGCCACCUCGCCUGAGGUCGCCUGAGGUCGUGCGACCUCAGGCGAGGCUUCCCGACGGCUAGAUCUAGCCCCCUGGCGGCCAGAUCUGGCCUCUCACCAGCUGAGCUUCGUGAGGAAGAACGAAGAAGACGAUGAACAGUGUUUUUUCGAGGGCAAAAAAGGAAAACAAAAUUAUCGAUAAGGGCAAUAUUGAAAAGAAAAAAAUUCAUUAAAACCUAGUCUAGCAUCCCGAAAAUGUUGAAAGCCCCUUUUAUAGUGGAGGGCCUCGGAUUACAUCCAUUGAUCUAGAAUUCUAUCGGCGGACGAGAUCGCACCGCCUCAACUACCGACAUAAGUACUUAACUACCAUCUACCGACAUAAAUGAAAGGGAACAGACUCCCGUAAUCUAGCUGAAUGACAUGUUCGCCCGUCCUUGUAAUUCGGGGAGAAGACUUGGUGGGAAUCCGAGUGAGAGCAGGAGGUCCACGGGCGACUUGGGGUCGACCUUGGGGAACCUCUCGGGUCGUCCAUUUCUAGGCCCGUGACAUUCUCCCCCACUCAAUCGAGCGACGUCCUUGUCGCUCUCAGCUUGGCGGGCAGCCUUGCGGGCUUUGGCACGAUCUUUCUUAUGCUUGUUUCUCUUCGCUCGGACGCUCAUGAACGAAGGGCCACAUCCUUCGAUGAUGAAGUCGGAUGCGCGCGGCUCGGUCUUCGGCUUGGACGGAGCACGCGGUGCACACUCAACCUCGGGGAAGAGUGCUUGGAUAGGCAUGGCGUGUGUUGGAGUCGGAUUCAACUUGACCAGUGGCUUCACCUCGGACAGCUUGUUGAUGCGCAUGACGGCCUUCAAGCUCUUGUCGAGGCGUCGGAUUGACGCGAUGGUCUUGGUGUCGACCACCCCUUUGAUCAUGGGGAUCAUCGACGGGCAUUUUUGAUCGAGGAUCAUCAUACAUUUGGUCCUCAUGUCGAUCAUGGCUCCCACACUAUCGAAGAAUUGCAUGCCGAGUAUGAGAUCAUAAUCGUCAAGAGGAAUUACCUCGAACGACAUUCGUCCCUUCCAUCCGCCAAUCUUGACGUCUACGUCGGGUGUUGCUCCAACGCCAUGGAAGUCGCUCAAAUUGAUGGGCUUGUACGACUUCCCGGACGGCUCGAUGUGUAAACCCAAGACCUUUGUGACCUCGGUCGACAUGAACAUGUUGGAUGCGCCGGUGUCGACCAAAGCGUAAAGCGUUCGGCCGCCCACUUCGACCUCCACAAAGAACAUGUCGGUGUUUGGAGCGAUUCCUUCUCCUUUGGUCGGCGAUCGGGCUUGGCCGGAAUUGAUCAUCUUCACAGCCCCGAUCCGGAUCUGCCGUUUGUCUUCUUUAGGCGCCUCCUUCUCUUCCUCGAUGGCAAGGAGGGCAUUGAUUCGACCCUUCUUCGGGCACUUUUGGGUCCAGUGCGGACCUUUGCAAAUAAAGCAAGGAGAGGGUGGAGGUUGAUCGAACUUACUCGCGUAGUCGAUCGGUGGUCGACCUCUUUGGAAGGACGGCUUAGAAGUCCCUUCUCCCCACAUCUUGGCUCGGCCGCCUUGAUCAUGCGCGCCACGGGGAGAGCUUCUCGUGUCGUCUUCGGGUCGAUCCGACCUCCAGUCUCUUGCUCGGUUGUUCCUCGGCUCAACCUUGGUGAGGUCGAUGAGAGACUCGGCCAUGCUUAGCGCACGCGCUAGGCUAUUCACGUCCCGCCGCUUCAGCUCAAGUUGUGCCCAUGGCUUCAGUCCAUCCAUGAACGCUCCGAAAGCCUCCUCUUCGCUUAGGUUGCGAAUUUGGAGUUUGAGCUCCGUGAACUCCUUCACGUAUUCUCGGACCGUACCUCUUUGCUCGAGGCGAUGGAGCUUGCUUCGGGCUUCUUGUUGAGCGAACUCGGGGAAGAAAUAGUCGCGGAAUUCCCUCACGAAGUCGUCCCACGUGUUCACGGGAUCGGCGCCUCGUCGAAUCUCAUCGCACCUAUUACGCCACCACAGCAUCGCCGUAUCAGACAGGAACAUGGAAGCGGUUCGUACCUUGAUCGACUCGUCGUGUAUGUUGGCGGCGCCAAAGUACUGCUCCAUGCUCCACACGAAGUUGUCCACCUCUUGGGCGGACCGGUUGCCUUUGAACUCCUUGGGCUUCGGAACCUCAAUCUUGGUCACCGUUUGAGCAGGCACCGCACCAUUCGUGAUGCUAAGUUUACACAGGGCGAGCUCGGUCUUGAGUUCUCGGAUCUCCGCCUUCAUGGCUUCGACCUCAUCCCUACACGGGCUUACCUCUUCGAUUAUUUGGACGCGCUCGUUCAAACCAUCGAUCGAUGCUUCGAGAGCUUCAUCCUUAUCGAACAAUGGAGCCGUGGCUUGGUUGAUGCCGGUCGUGAAGUCUUCACGGAGCGAGCCCUCAACCUCCAUGAUCCGAUCUCGCACAUCGUCAAGACCUUCCAUGAGUUCGAGCACAGCACUCCGAACCUUCCCGAUCUUUUCAUCGAACGUGGCCGCAGCAUCCACCGAGGCGUCUCUCUUCUUUGAUUUGCUGCGCGUGUCCUUGACUGGCACAGCCUCUCCAACUAUGUUCGCAUCUUGGCUCGACAUUCCUUCAAACAGUUGGUGCUCUUCAAUCUCUUGGAUACGGAUCUCUCUUUAGCUCUGAUACCACUUGUCACGGGCCGAUCGAUAGGGAUCGUGACCGCGCGGCGACUCGGGCACUCUAGGAUCGGGAUGGAUCGCCAAAGCGCCUAAGCCAAGCCUUACACAGUCGAACGCUCACUCGCUCGCCUUACCCGGAUCGUAGAGAGAGAAAGUAUCUAGAGAGAAGAGCUCUGGAAAGAAGACUUGCUUUGUAUUGCGGAAGUAGUGGAUGUUUACAAAUGAAGGAGGACACCCCUUUUAUAGUGGAGGGCCUCGGAUUACAUCCAUUGAUCUAGAAUUCUAUCGGCGGACGAGAUCGCACCGCCUCAACUACCGACAUAAGUACUUAACUACCAUCUACCGACAUAAAUGAAAGGGAACAGACUCCCGUAAUCUAGCUGAAUGACAUGUUCGCCCGUCCUUGUAAUUCAGGGAGAAGACUUGGUGGGAAUCCGAGUGAGAGCAGGAGGUCCACGGGCGACUUGGGGUCGACCUUGGGGAACCUCUCGGGUCGUCCAUUUCUAGGCCCGUGACAUAUGUCUCGAGUUGUCUAUUAUAACUUUCUCACAUCACCACCGCCAUACAACCAUGCCCAACAAAGUUGUAUGAAAAAUGAUAUCUAUUUUUAGAAAGAAUUUCACUCCAAGUUCACCUCAAGACGAUUUUCCAAUGAAAAUGGUAUCUACUUUUGUUCCAAACCUGAUUCACCAUUAGAAUCGACAAAUAUAAUUGGAGAAGUUUAUCAUUGUUAAGAAAUUGAUUUUCUUUUUCUAUUGACUACUUUUGAUAUAUCCUAGGUUAAUCAUCUUGGCUUCCAACUUUUUGAUAAUAUGUUAUGAUCUUUUCGAGGCAUAUUUCUGCCAAAAAUAAAGAACUGAGAUGACUGGACAUUCAAGAUCCAACUAUGCGAUCCUUUGAUGACACCAAUCAUUCUCAAUAAUCUUGGCUUUCUCGCAUCUUUAAUCAGCCUAAUACUUGACUUGGAGGAAUCAUCACUUUCUCUAGGACCCUUUUCUUCAAAUCAAUUUUGAUGUCCUAGGCAUAUUUUUAUGAUUGGUAGUGAGUAUUUUUUAGCUGAUUCCAAAAGUUAAAAUACUCUGAUUCCAUGUUAUGUUAGGAAUUUCACAUAUUAUACUGUUUGACCGUGUUAAUGAUAGAAAGUGUUAAUGAUAGAAAUGAUAGAAUGUCUUCCUUAGAAUUGUAUGGAAUCACUUGUAUGGGCAGUCAAGCUAUUUCUUUUUCACUGAUUUCAAGAAAGGACGCAUUCAUUGUUGCAAUUACAAAGCUUCAUUGUCCAUGUUUUUAAGCCAUUUCUAGAAAAUCUCAAUUCUACCACCGACAGCGUUCAUAUUUUGAAGCAUAAUUCUCAAUGUAGCGUGCUCUGCUAAUCUUUGCCUCCCCUGUAAUUCUCAAUAGAAAUACAACUCUUUGUGUAUUUGUUCCUUUAUGUAACCUAAGAAAUCUCUUUUUGUUUCAUUAAAAAAAAUAGCCACUCGAAUUAAAACGAAAACUAACAAAUAAAAGGAUAACUAACAAAAACUCUCUUUCGUAAAGAACAUGGUUAACUCAUAAUUGUGGAACUAUACAACUGAAACUAUCCAAUUCACCCAAAACAUGAUUAUUAAUCACAAUAAUUAUAAUAAUUACCAGGUGCAACAUUUUUUCUUACUCAAAUGAAUAAUGUUGUAGAGCAAAGACUGUAGCAGAAAAUGUGAAUCCGAGUUAUGCUCAAAUAUCUAGCGAUGCUUGCUCUUCUCUAUUAAAAAAAAAAAAAGAAAAUCAUUUUUUUCGGGGCAUGAUGCAAUGAAGGAUUUGUCGAUUAAAUUGGAGCUUCUUCUUUUUUUGUGGUUGAUUACUUAGUAUUGAACAUAAAAAGAACUCAUUGAAAAUGACACAGUGCCUCCAUUUCUGAGAUAUGGCAAGUAUUGUGGGCUCCUGUACAGCGGAUGUCCAGAGGAGAGGCCCUACAACGGCCUUGACGCUUGUUGCAUGAAGCACGACGCCUGCAUUCAAGACAAAAACAGUGAUUCUCAGCAUCGAUUCCUUCAACUUUUCUUCAUUGAAUUGAUUGAUAUAACUAGUCGCUGGCCCGCGUGUUUGCAUGGAUGUAUUUUAAGAGGACGAUUGUGGAAGCCAUUUUCGCUGGUGAACAAUAGCUUCACUCGUCUAUAUAUGCAUGGAUUCACAUUCCUAAAAAAGCAUAUUACAGAGUGGAGAUAGAGAAAAUGGCGUAAGGGACUAAUUGGUCAAAAGAAAGAAGAGACAUGAGUAAGAUUAAUGUGCCUACGAGGACUUUGCUCUUCCACAAUGUCAUUAAACUAUCUCUUCAUUCAUGAGCCAACUUUAAUCACUAUUCUGAGGUCUGGGGGAGGAGAUUGUGAGGGAGUAAAUGCUCUUGUGAGGGCAAUGACAUCAACAUUUGCUUUUUAUUACAAAAAGCGCAUGUCUAGAUUUUCUCUUUCUCAUGGACUGGUCGGGGAUAAUAACUUCAACUAAUACUCUGGCUUGUCAAAUGUGCUAAGUGAUGGCAAUGAAAUCAUAUCGCGUGAUUAUUCAAUUUGACCUUUCAUUCAUAGAGCAGGUCGUGUCAGCCUCAUAGAAAUAUUGGAAUUGUGAUGCUCAGACCUGGCGGGGUGUUGUGCAGAUGACUAUUUGAGCCAGAAGUGCAGCCAAAACUUACCGAACUGCAUGACGAACUUCAAGAACUCCAGAGGAAGAACGUUUAAAGGAAGCAAAUGCGAAGUCGAGGAUGUCGACGUCCUCUCCAUUGUCAUGGAAGCUGCGUUGCUUGCCGGGAGAUACCUCCACAAGCCCUGAAUCUCUCUGUCCACGUUCCACGGAUAUAUCAACUCUGAUCCCUUCACUCACUUCGUGAUCAUCCCUUUCUUCUUUGAUUUUUUUUCCCUUCUGGCGGUUUGUCACCACCAAAUGAAGAACGAACAGAAGGAUGCAACUUCGACACGUAAAGGCAUGACGAAAAAAUAAGAGAGCGCAACAUGAUUCCUACCAGUUUUUCCACCGUACACGAUGCAACUUUUGACAGGAUCAAAGCCAUAAAUCCACCAUCAGAUUGAGAAAUCUAUGUAUUAGCAUCUCAAUUGACAAAGAGGGCAGAAUCCAUGGAAAUUCAACAUCUCAACAUCAGUGUCUUGGAUCUGAGAAAAGUAAAAUUCUUACGAUGGUGCCUCCAGUGACUUAUCAAUCCAUGACUAAAUAACUGGACAUAAGCUGCUAAAAAUGCAAUCGAAGCCACAUAGACAUGAGUAGUUGCCAGGAUCAAUCAAUUGCUAAAAGUAUUAUUUGACAUCAGCUGAAUAAAAGGUUUCAACAGGGGUUACAUACAUUGAGUCUACCUCCAACUAAUACUUUAAGCCUUUGGUUGGACCUUUUGCGAACGAUGAAUGAAGUUCUGUUUUAUUAUGCAUUAAUGAAUGAAAGAAUCACAUAAUAAACAUCUGGUUCUCUAGGAAACCAACUUUAAUAGAGCUUGGAAAAAAGUAAUAAUCUGUUUGCAUAAGAACAAAUUCAUGUCAAGGAUGAAGAGUCUUACUUUGUGACUGGUGACGUAUAAUGAUAUGCAAUCUACUUCAAAGGCAUUCUUAUCUAUUUUCAUUCCCACCAGGAUCACAAGCCAGAUGAUGCUGAAGCAUCACAUUCAAGUGGUCGACCAAUUUCCCCAAGAUUCGUUGAAAUAAGACAGAAAACAAUAAGACAUCGACAUGAAAAGCCCCAUGCCAGACUGAAAAUACUAAUGUGAGAUGGGUAUUCUCAACUGAAUAUGAUAAUAAAAGAACGCGAUUUCUCUCGUCAGGAUUCAAAGACACGCAUCAAACUACUGUGCAAGUGAUAAUAAAAGAACAUGACAACUAUCUUCCAAGUCAAUUUGCCCUCCUAAUAUUGCCAGUGAGCUAUUCCUAUGUCAAGAUUACAGUUUUAGUAGGAAGUCCUCGCUCCUGAUGCAGUGCCAUUUAAACACUCCACAGAAUUAAAAAUCAUAUGCACAGCUCCUCCCACUUCAUUUCAGAGCCAUAAACAGCUGGGUAGUACUCGUGCUCUGAAGAUUUUUUGUCCCCACCAUCAGCCUAGCCAAAAAUGGUGCACAUUUCUGGCUGAAACCAAUUCCAUACAGUGGCAGCUGUAACGAAACAUUCUGAUUUGAGCUGUAGUUCAAGAAAAUAUGGCAUUUAGAGAUCUAGAUCAGCUCUCAAACAUUAAACGACUAAAGCAAAUCACCUUUCUAGCCACCCAUUGAUUACUAGUCAUGUUUAUCCCAAAAACAUGAAAGCAAUAUGGUUGAUUUAAGGACUUCCUGCAUACUUCUGGCUUGGAUCUCACACUGUUAUCCACAAUACAGUGGAAAUCCUCUGUUCUUCUAAAGCCUCUAGGGCAUAAACAUCGUCAUCACCAAACAAUGACUAAACUAAAGUGAUAAAUUGCGAAUAAUGUUAAGAUACAAAUUUGCAAGACGAUUUAUACCUGCAUGAAGCAAAACAAUGAAAGAGCGGCUGCAUGAUUUGUACUGGAUUUCCACUGUUGAUGAUAACACUUUNNNNNNNNNNNNNNNNNNNNNNNNNNNNNNNNNNNNNNNNNNNNNNNNNNNNNNNNNNNNNNNNNNNNNNNNNNNNNNNNNNNNNNNNNNNNNNNNNNNNNNNNNNNNNNNNNNNNNNNNNNNNNNNNNNNNNNNNNNNNNNNNNNNNNNNNNNNNNNNNNNNNNNNNNNNNNNNNNNNNNNNNNNNNNNNNNNNNNNNNNNNNNNNNNNNNNNNNNNNNNNNNNNNNNNNNNNNNNNNNNNNNNNNNNNNNNNNNNNNNNNNNNNNNNNNNNNNNNNNNNNNNNNNNNNNNNNNNNNNNNNNNNNNNNNNNNNNNNNNAAGAACGAAGAAUCUCAUGUUACUUGACUGAAGACAACAGAUAUCCUUUUGGAGGCAUUCUGACCUUCUAUAUUCAUGUCAUGAUCACAAGCCAGAUAACACUAAAGCAUUACAAUUACUUUGCUCAAACAACUUCCUCCAGUUGCUGGAAUUAAGACAAGAAAAUUAUAACGUGUCAAAAAAAAGCCCCAUCCAAACUGAAAAUACUAAUGGAAGCAGGUUAUCUCCACAGAAAAACUACACUAUACCUGCUAUAUUUUUUGUUCAGUAAAUGACUUCAGCGAUCUCCAGCAACAGAUCUUAGUCAUCCUCCAUAGAAUCUGAAUAUUCUUCAUAAUCCUGAAAGCAGAGCAGGGUUACCAAGUCAAUCUUUUUGGUGUUGCUCACAUCAAAUUGUAUCCAGUACUAUCAAACGUUAGAUCUAACGAUAGACAGCAAACCUCGGUCAGCUUCUCGUUGUUGCUUUCCUCAAUAAAAAAAGUCUGGUAAUUUCUUGAGUGACUCGCACCCACUCCUAUCAAAGCGCAGGAAUUUACUGGGGCAGCGAAUUUCAACUAAGCUUUUGCAAUCCCUAACAUUCAACCACGUUAGAUGCUCCGACUUUGAAAGGUCCAGUACUUGAAUGUGCUUACGCCAAGAAAUAUCCACCCAUUCCAAGGAUCCCAAUUUUUCAAGGCCUUCUAUCACAUGGAGAUGAUCCACCUUUUCAUCAAAUGAUAGAUAUAGGCACAACUUUCUUAGGGAUUUUAAAGAUUCCAGUCCAUCCAAUUUCUUCAGCCCAUUACAGGCCGAGAGCCCUAAUUCCGACAAAAAUUCCAAAUCUUUUUGAUUUGGAAACCUUUCCACUUUGGGACAUUUAUUAACGUCAAGUAUCCGUAUGCAGGAGGGGAGCUUUGGGAUCUCUUGAAGAGACACGCAAUCCCAAAGCCAGAACUUCUGUAGAUGCUUCAGGCGAGAGAGCGAUGGGAUGCUUUGAAGAGACCCGCAGUCGCAAAGGUAGAGCUCUUGUAGAUGCUUCAGGCGAGAGAGCGAUGGGAUGCUUUGAAGAGAGUCACAAAUGAAAAGUUGGAGUGUCUGUAGAUGCUUCCGGUGAGAGAGCGAUGGCAGCUCCUUGCUCCGACCGGUGAGCCCCAGGAAUUUUAAGCUAAAAGGAGGUUUUGGGAGUGACUCAAGCUCUUCACACUCAUCUAAUUGGAGGUGCUCGAGAGAAGAAAGCUGAUCUAAGUUUUCCGGCAAGCCAGAAAUUUUUGUGCACUGUAAAUCAAGGGUUUUUAGAAAAGACAAUCCACCUUUAUCAAGGAGAAUCCGUCCUUUUAGUUUACGGCAUGAGGAGGCAUCGAGCUCUUGGAGGCUCUGCAAUUUUCCAAUAGAGCUCGGUAUCCUUUCUAUCUCACAACCCUGAAUUUUCAAAAUUUUCAAUUUGUUCAAUUUGCCAAUGGAUUCAGGUAGUUCCUUAAUCCUUGUACCUGACAAGUUCAGCUCAACCAACUCUCCCAACUUCCCAAUUGAAGAAGGGAUCUUUUUUAAUGACAAAUGUUUUGACUCCCAAUCCCACUGGGCACUAAGCCUCUUCAGAUUCUUUAACGAUCCUAUACAUGAAGGGAUUUCUUUUAUCCGAGUCUUGUCUACGACAAGUUCCUCCAAAUGUUCUAGUUUGCCAAGUUGUUCAGGUAACAUCUUGAGACUUCUACAACCACUCAAGUUCAAGAGAAGGAGGCGCUCGGCAUAUUGAAUGGAAUGGUCGAUUUCCUUCAAAUUGGCACAACCUUUUAGGAUUAGAGACCGUAAAUUUUCAAAAGUGGAGAGAUUAGGGUUGCUCUUCAAUUUCAAGCACCGCGAAAGAUUGACAACUUUCAACCUCUCCAUCUACAAGAAAGAAACAUGUUUCAAGAUUAGCAAUUAGAAAUAUAAUGAUUUAUCAUCAAAUGUAACAAAGAAAAAGCCUUUUUUCAUAUUUACCUUAAUUGAACUCCAUCCUCUCCAAUUUUCACUAACACCCCUAACACGAUCGUAAUGAACACCAAAUAAAUCAGGUAUGACUAAUUUGGUCAUCUCCAAAGAGUCGUGGCAUCCCUCCCACUCUAGCCAUCUUAAUUCAGUGAGUGAUUCUUCGAAAUCUCCACCAAAAUCCACAUCCUUCACAUGAAGGAACUUCAAGUUAGGCAUUUUUUUAAAGCUUUCUCGCCUCAUGAACUCUUUGGAGCCCCUUUGGUCUAGACGUAGUGCCUCAAUAUUUUCAUUUUCCACCUACAAAAAGAAUAAAAUAAAAUUGAGGAUUGUAAAUACCAUUCGACCUCCUUUUGUUCGUAUACUCUUGCAUGAUAUUGUGACCAAUGCAUUUUGUCUACACUCAUAGAGAAAUAGAAAUAUAUCUAAUCUUUUACAAUUACAUGAUCAUAUAAUACGUCGAUCUUCACUCGUAUGCCCCAAUUUUUUAUGUUUUAUGUGAAACUCCAAUAUUAAAUUAGUCUGGUUUUCUUAUAGAUUUUGAAAUUAAAUUUUGUAACAUACAUAGUAUUGACAACCGAUGUCCCUUUGACAUAUAUGGAACACGAUUGUUCCAUGACACGCGAAGAGCUCACAACAAAACUAAAAAAUCCUCAACUGUGACACUUCCUUUAUAAAUUAAUGUAUCUUGAACAAUCUUCCAUCAUUAAUUUAUGUAAUUUGUUAAUUUGACUAAAAGUGACACUAAAAGAAAAGCUAAAUCCACAACUGAAAAUUUGAAUUUAAUUUUUUUAAAAUUUUACUAGUGCUUUAACUAACAAGAUAAGUAAUGAUUUUCUAAUAAUUAUCGAGUAAGCGUCAUCAAAUUAUGGUGUGUUGUUUCAGGUAAUCAACUAACCUAAUUAUGCAUUUCUAGAUUAUUCUAAAAAUCGAUAUAUUUCAAGGUGUUUCUUCAAUUAUGUUAAUGACAUUCACUAAGUCAUACAAUUUAGAGUAAAUUUUCAAUUUUCUUUUUGUUAAGUACAUGCAAUAAUGCAUUGACAUUAUCAUAUUGGAUAUAAAUUGUGAACAUGCAUGGCAAAUCCUAAAAAACAAAUUGUAAAAAUUCUUCGUACAAAUAAAACCACUGCAUAAGAUCUUAUUACUUCAAAUUGAACAAAAUCUAAAGUUGAUAGCAUAGUUAUGAGAUGCAAAUAAUUGAACUAAAAUCUUUCUUUUUGCUGCCAUAAAGUAGAACCUGCGCUCGAGCAAAUAGCAUAUAUUCACGAUUGAAAAUUAAAUAUGGGAUAAUGCAUUAGAUUCUUGAGAAGGAUACUAUUACAUAUAUCAUACCAAAGUACAUUUCAAGACUGAAAAAUGUGGAAAAUAUGUGAUCCAUGAAUUAAGCAGAUCCAUUUAGGUGAAAAAGAAGAAUAAGAAGAAGUAAAUUUGACAGUUUAACAGGUGGUUAUAUACUCUUAAUUAACAUUUAUCAACCCAAUAUUUAUCGUCACAUCAAUGUACUUCAAAAAUUAAAUUCCCAAUAUAUUUUGGGACGAUAAAAUGAAAAUAAAAUAAAAUGAAGAAGUAAUGAUUGACAGUAAAGUUUUUGUUAAAUUUGUAAUGACUUAUAUACAUUUUAGAGCCAGAUAUAAGUGGCAUAAAGUAAAUUUUCGACCUGUGUGCUUCAACAAGUAAUAUGGUAAGAAUAAGUAACAUAUUUGCUAAAAAAGGAUGUGAAUAUUUUCUGAGUCUCAUAGUCACGAGUGCAAACUUUUCAUAAACUAUGGGCCAAAAUUCGAUGUAGCUUUUACCAAGAAAAUGCUAAUCACAUGUUGAGAAUGGUCAAUGAUCUAGAGUAAAAGAACGAUGAUGAUAAUAAUGUAAGGGACUACGAUUGGAGAACAUGGGAGAGGACAAAAGUAGACAUCAUCAUUACCUUUUGGAGAACAUGGGAGAGGACAAAAGUAGACAUCAUCAUUACCUGACGACGUAGAACUCUCAUGACUUUCUCCUUGUCCCAUAGUCUGCUACAAUCCCAAGGCUUCUUAUCUGCUGGACAGGCGAUAACUUUACCUAGAUCUCUUAAUUGAUCAUGCAUUCUAAAUCGAUUCUCGUCAUCAAUUUUUAUUAACGAACGGUUAAUCAAUAUUCGCAAUCCGGCUAUUGGGAAGAAUUUGAGAUCCGCCCAAAAGUAGGUGACAUUUGUUUUGUCAGUCCCAAUGAAAAAACAUGCAAUGUCUAGAAACAUCUGCUGCACCUCAGAUGUUAAUGUAUCAUAACUUAUCCUCAACUUUUCUUGCACAGUCUCAUUAGGUGCAUUCCUCAAUUUCUUCAAAGUCUCUUCCCACUCUAUUCGAUCUUUCUCUUUGAGAAGUGAACCUACAACCAUGAGAGCCAAGGGAAGCCCUCCUGUGGUGGCAACAAUAUUACUAGAAAGAGCAGCGAGAUCAGUGGGAGGUUGUUCCCCUUCAAAUGCAUAUUUACUAAACAGAAGCAAAGAUUGUUAACUGUUCAUUUCUUUGAGUUCAUAAAUUUCAUAGUCAGACUUAAAGAGAGUCUUGUCUCGACAUGUAAUUAUGAUCCUACUUCCUGAUCCGAAAUUACAACCUCCAAUCAAUUUAUCGAGGUGGUCUCGACGAUCCACAUCAUCAAGAAGAAUAAGUACCUUCUUAUUUUCACAACUUGAUCGGAUCAUUGCAAUCCCUAUAUCAGACUUAUGCACGCUAUGGGGAGGGCUUUUUGUUAUCUCUGAGAUGAGUAGAGAUUGGACAUGCUCGACGCCCUUGCGAUUAAUUUCUUCUCUAAUAUCCUGGCGAGAGCUGCGGCACUGAAACUUGUCAAAAAGCUUUUUAUAGAUGAUCGUAGCUAGAGUUGUCUUACCGAUGCCGCCCAUCCCCCAAAUCCCAAUAAUUCGAGUGUCCGGGCGAGCAAGAUCCACCAAUUCCAUAACCUCAGCCACACAAUCCUCAAUUGCAACCAAGUUUUCAGGAAGAUCUGGUGGGAGAUCAUGUUGCUGCUCACGCAAUAUUAUUUCUACAAGUUCAUUUACCAAUUCCCCUUCAUGCCUGCCAAAUAACACAACACAUGAGAACUUAUUAAUGGCUCCACAAAACAUGAAUUGAGGAUGAUAAAUAGAAAGUUCUUCUUCCAACAAGGAUCUGUUAAAAGAGGUAAACGAAGUACCCAUCAGCAAAUUUCUCUGAUUCGAAUACUCUAAGAUCAACUGCUUUUUUGAGAGCUAGCGGCCCCUGUUGCUCGACCUCCUUCUCAAAUUUAUCCUUACAGGAUUUGUAGGCCUUUCCAAAGGCCCCCUUUAGUUUUCGGACAUGCUUGGGUUUCACCUUGUAAAGCACGGGCAAGACUAUCUGUCCUCUGCUUUCCUUGCACUCCAUUAUAUGAAUGAGCUCGUGAAGGCACCAUUCGCUAGCAGCAUAAUUUUCCGAGAUGACUGGGAUUGAAAUCUUAGAGCGCUCAAUUGCACUGAUGAGAUUUUCAUCAAUUUUCUCACCAAAGGGGAGGUCCUCAUCAUCUCUGACACAAAGUUCGGAUGGUACCUCAGCCACAGCUUUGAGUCUUUGGUAGAGUGAUCGACGAAACCUUUGCNNNNNNNNNNNNNNNNNNNNNNNNNNNNNNNNNNNNNNNNNNNNNNNNNNNNNNNNNNNNNNNNNNNNNNNNNNNNNNNNNNNNNNNNNNNNNNNNNNNNNNNNNNNNNNNNNNNNNNNNNNNNNNNNNNNNNNNNNNNNNNNNNNNNNNNNNNNNNNNNNNNNNNNNNNNNNNNNNNNNNNNNNNNNNNNNNNNNNNNNNNNNNNNNNNNNNNNNNNNNNNNNNNNNNNNNNNNNNNNNNGUGCUUGCGUUGCUCCCCCCCCCCCCCCCCCCCCCUCUCUCUCUCUCUCUCUCUCUCUCUGUCUCUGAGACUCGACUGGUGUGGAUAGUUUUUGAGGUGAUGGAAGAAGGGGGUGAGUACAGUGGUUUGCUUGUCAACCAGGAAGAUGUCUCCGUUCGGCUGCAGGGGUUUCAGCUGGGAAGCGUACUCGAGCUGGUGGAAGAGUAAAAAGAGAAAGCAAGAGGCGAGGCAGGAAAACGAAGCAGGAUUGUCGUUUGAUAUAGUUCAUGUGUUUAUAUUGGGAUCAAGAGACGCGUUCAGAAUUUUGCCAAAAAAAAAUUAAUUGUUAAUCGGUUAGAAGCAAUUCUGGUGGUCCUCGCUCCUAGCCCUAGAAGUCUGCUCCCAACUGGCCUUAACAACCACCCCCAUUAUAUAAAAUUUAAAAAAAUGAAAGAAAAUAACAUAUUAGCUAUAUUGCCACUAUAAUUAUAUUACCGUGAUCACAAUAAUUAAUUAUUCAAGAAAUAUACUUUAUCUUCAUUAGAAUAAGAGAUUUCUGCAAUAUUGAAAGUAAUUAUACCCCAUUGAGUUAAAGCCAAAAAAUAUUUAGUUCAAUUAAAGUAGAAAAGUAAAAGGAAAAUUGUACAAAAACAAGUUCGAAUAGACAUUCUUCAUGAAAAUUAUCGCCUGCCAAUUACCCAUUAAAAAUGCUUUGGUGAACCACUUUUAUAUUUAUCUAAUAAGAUAGAUCAACCAUAUCUAUUUUAGAUCUAUAUAUGAAUCAUAUUUCAUUUUAUAAGCUUAAUUCAUAUCUCAAAGAAAUUAUGCUCUUUUUUUUGGCAAGCACAUCAACAAAUUUGCUUUUAAUUAACUUGUGGACUUCGGUAAAUGACAAAAAAUAAUAAACAUAACUAUCGGACACUCAUGUGCUUACUUUUCUUUGAUUUUUUUUGUCCCAAAUGACAUCAAACACUAUUUGCUUUGACCCUGCGUCGCUGUUUUGGGCUUGACCCAUCUAUCUUCAACUCUCCUAUGCCGAUCGUCGAGGUCGCCUUAGUCUAGUUUUGCGAGUUGUUUCUCCUUGGCCCUACGUGGCCUUUUGUUUAGUCUGUCUGUUUUUAGUUAUUGCUUCGACCCUGCGUCGCUGUUUUGGGCUUCCUGUUUCGGCCCUUGCUUGAGUUGACCGCGUUGCGGUGUUUUGUGUCUGGCGCCCUUUCACUCGAUUAGAGGCUUCUGUCUUGUUGAGUGCAAGUUUUGUGGUGCCGGAUCAUGUAUAUUUGCUGAUUUUAGCUCAAUAUAUCAUUAUCCUUUACCAAAAAAAAAAAAAGCACUAUUUGCUUUGAGAUGACAGCCACCCUCACAUUACUAGAAAGCAUUCACCAAUUAUUUUUCUCAACCAGCCCCACCACUCCUCUUUAUGAGUCUCAAAGGCCAUCAUGACCCUCUGCCUUAUUACUGUCCAUGUGAAACGCACUGGUUGCCAGUCUAAAAGAAAAAGGAAAGAACUUUAAAGCACUGACGCAACCGGAAUAUUCCCAGGAACGUUCGCGCGAAGUUUCGUUCGAAGAGCCUUAUUUCCUCUCGAUUGAACUUCCUUGUAGCCGGGCAUCAUUGGAUCGACAAAUCAACAUCUAUUGGAAGUCUAACGGUAGGAAACUACAUGCGAGAAUAGAGCUCUUGAAGUCACAUGCAAAGGUAAAGCUAAGGUUCCUAAAGUCAAGGAUUUUGUCUUUCAAUAUUGUGGGCUUCAAUGUUCAGGAAAUUUUGGCUACACAUUUCGCUCAUGGAGAUGUAAAUGGAGCAGUGAUAGUUUUCAAGCAAUAUAUUAACUACCACUGGACAUGAGAAAAAAUUAUUAUCAAAAAUGAUAUGGUGCCCGCAUUGCUGAGAUACGGCAAGUAGUGCAGGCUUCUGUUCAGGAUCGAGACACUACAAAGGCCUCGACAAUUGCUGCAUGAAGCGCGAUACCCUCUUUCUCCUUUCUUUUCCUUUAAUUUAUUUUCGUUAAAUAUCAUUUUCUUUCCUAUCAAAGGAACCUCCUAUUCCUUUCGAUCUUGAGAUUGCGUAAUUGUAUAUUUUCUUGAAGAAAUAAGAAUGUUGUGUUUGGGUGUGAAAGAACUAAGGCAAUAAGAAAAUCGAAGAUAGAGAAGAAAAUAAGAAAUAAAUGAAGGAUAUAGAGAUGAGGUGUGAAUGGAAAUGACCGUUUAACUUUACAUAGGGAAGGGUACGUGUGCUGAGGACGAUCAUAUAUUUCGACUUACAAGUCAAAAGUGGUAUCUUAUCUCAAUUAAGUUUGGACAAAGAACGGUGGGCACCCCUUCAUUCACGGUUACUAAGCAAUACAUUGCUACAUGUAAUUACACCUUACACUACAUUGGUUGGGUGGCCUUUUUCGAUCAUUGUAUUUCGCAAUGGAAAGAAUCGGUGUUUCUAUCUCAUGAGUCGGGGANNNNNNNNNNNNNNNNNNNNNNNNNNNNNNNNNNNNNNNNNNNNNNNNNNNNNNNNNNNNNNNNNNNNNNNNNNNNNNNNNNNNNNNNNNNNNNNNNNNNNNNNNNNNNNNNNNNNNNNNNNNNNNNNNNNNNNNNNNNNNNNNNNNNNNNNNNNNNNNNNNNNNNNNNNNNNNNNNNNNNNNNNNNNNNNNNNNNNNNNNNNNNNNNNNNNNNNNNNNNNNNNNNNNNNNNNNNNNNNNNNNNNNNNNNNNNNNNNNNNNNNNNNNNNNNNNNNNNNNNNNNNNNNNNNNNNNNNNNNNNNNNNNNNNNNNNNNNNNNNNNNNNNNNNNNNNNNNNNNNNNNNNNNNNNNNNNNNNNNNNNNNNNNNNNNNNNNNNNNNNNNNNNNNNNNNNNNNNNNNNNNNNNNNNNNNNNNNNNNNNNNNNNNNNNNNNNNNNNNNNNNNNNNNNNNNNNNNNNNNNNNNNNNNNNNNNUUUGAGAUCAAAGUUGGAUACUCGCACUGGGAUCAGCUGACUUGUAGAGCACCGAACCGGCAUGGUGGGAGGCACGAAAUGAAGCUUCUUGGGCCAAGAGAGCAGAAAAAGCAUGGUAUCAAAUAAUACAAGCAGCUUUUCAUAGAUAUUGAAAUAGGACCCGUUUAUAGUUACAGUUUCAAAACUUCCUUCGCCAUGACUUAAGUCAAUUUUGGAAUGUCUCAGUUACUUGAACGGGAGUGUCUGGACCCUGAAGCAGUUUGCUCAAAGUGGUGUGUUCUGCCAAUCUUUGCCUUCCUCUGCUAAUAACCGCUACCCGCAAAAGGGGUCCUUCCAAGGUCCCUAGGCGACGAAAAUGGAACGGGAUUAGGGGAGCAUGUUAGUCGUUUGAUUGAGAGAGGAAGCUGUGCACUUUCAUAUGCAUUCUAUAAGCUACUUGCUCAGGUGGUCCAGUUAGGAACAUUCUAGGAAAACUACAAUUCUUCAUAAAGAAUAAGUUCCUUCAAAAUCUCGGGCACUAAAGAAAAAUUAUCAUUCAUAAAAAGUUAUUAAUAAUAGGAGCCUCAACGUCACUGGCACUCGUAGAGAAAGUAUGAUCUCUUUCUUAUAUACAAAUGUUACUUACUAGCUAGAGAUAGAUCCAUCAUUAAGUGUCAAGUGUACCCAUUACCCAUUGAAAUUUUUUGGCAAGUCACUAUUACUUUUAUUUAAUAAGUUGAUUCAUUGUAUCCAUUUUAGAUCUAUAUAUGAAACGUAUUUUAUUUUAUAGGCUUAACUCAUAAUUCUAAAAAAUUAUGCUCUCUUUUUUAUGUGCAAGCACAUCAACAAUAUUGCUCUUAAUUAACUUAUGAACUUUGACAAUGACAAUGAUUUAAGAUAAUAAACUUAACUGUCGGGCACUCAUAUUUUCACUUACUUUUCUUUGAUUUUUGGCCCAAAUGACAUUAGCAAUAUUGUUUUUAAGACGACAACCACCAUCACAUUACUAAAAAGCAUUCGCCGAUUAUUUCCCUCGUCCAUCCUACCACCUAUCUGUCCAAGUCUCCAAGGCCACCGUGAACAAUUCCUUUUAGGGUCAAUGUGAAACGCGCUGGCUGAAGGUCCAAAAGAAAAUGGGAAAAGCUUAAAGCACCGACACGAUGGGUCGGUACGUUCCCAGAAAAUCCGUGUGAAUUAUUUGUCCUCUAAUUGAACCGUGUGGUGGGGGCAUCAUUGGAUCUGGAAAUCAACGUCCAUAGGCUACCAUGUAGCAAAUAAAAAGUCUACCAGUAGGAAAUUAUUUGGGGGACACACAAUAAAUGCUUUCACAGGAAAAUGAAGGAUGAGGAGCUCUUGACGUGUACGUGAAGCCAAGGUUCAUAAAGUUUAGAAUUUUGCCCAUCGAAAUUUGUGGGCUGAAACCUUUGUCGGUUAACGUGUGAAUCGGCCUCCCAUGUGAUGCACGGUUUGAUUUAUUACUACCAUUUGGUCAUCCUAAAAACUUAAUAAGAACCGUUCUUUAUCUAAAUCCUUGAGCUUCGUUGAUUACUCCGAACUGAGUCGUUGUGGGAUCCUAAUAUAAUUUCAAUUUAUAUAAGUAUUUUAAAAUCGCUAUCUUAUUAUUUGAUUCAUAAUUCAAUUCAUUUCUACCUUAUUUGUCAUAUUAAAAGUUCGUAAGGAAUUACUUUUUUAUCUAGACUCUCUGACUCUAACGAUUACUCUAUCCUUGUCAAAUCAAGUUAUUAUAUUAUUAAAAGAUAAAUUCUUAAUAAGGCGAGCAUCAAUUAUUUAAUUAGUGAUGAGAUGUUAUUUUGUUGCAUUUGCGUUAUCUCUCGCAUCACAUCUCUAGUGAAUUAUAAAUUUAUCUUCGUGCUCAGUUAAAGGAGUACCUUGUUGGCUUCUUUAGUAUUGUAGAAAUCAUAUUUACAAAACGAAUAGUACCUCUCCUUUCCCAUACUUUUCUCCUUCCUUUUUCUUUAAUUUAUUUUCGUUAAAUAUCCUUUUCUUUCCUACCGAAAGCAGCUCCUGCUCCUUUCGUGCGUGGCGAGAGAGAGGGGGGGGGGGGGUAAUCGUGGAUUUUCUUGAAGAAAUAAAGGUUGUGUCUGGGUGUGAAAAAACAACGACAAGAAGAAAAUUGAAAAGAGAAGAAAAGGAAAAUAACCUCAUGUUACACCUUACAAGUCACAAGUGGGAUUGUAUCUCAAUUAGAUCUGAAUGAAAAAUGACCAAAACCACUUCACUCACAAUUAAAUUGAUGAAGGAUGAUGAAUGGUAAUUUCAUGAUUUGAGUCACAAGCAAUGCAUUGCGACGUGUAAUUACACCUCCACUACAUCGGUCGGCGGCUUUUUCAACUAUUGUGUUUCGCAAAUGAAAAAAUCAGUCUUUCCAUCUCAUGUGGACUGUGCACACACAUCUAUAUCCCUCUUCCUUUCCUCCUUUCCUUUUCUGCUUAUUAUUCCAUGGACGAACAGAUGCAGAGAAACACAGAGACCUCCCUACUUCACUCAAUGAACCCGCAGUCCCUCUGUCUCAUCGUGAAUUCACAGUGCUUGAGCGACCUGUAAAGAAUCACACAUAAUAUUUGAUCGACUGCUUCCCGGGGGACCUUUGUCGCUUUCCUCUUCCGUCCCUACCGCUCUUCUUUUCCGAGUCUGCAAAGCCACGAGCCUCUUCCUUUUGGCGUUAUUGUGAAACACGCCGGUUGCCUCCAGCUUUUCAAAAGCUUAAGGAAAAGAGGGUUAAAGCACCCAUAUCAAUCAGUACGUUCUCUGAACGGUCCGCCUGAAGUUUUGUCCGAGUAGUCUUAUUCAAGUUCUGUGCAGCACGCUCAUCAUCGGAUCGAGAAAUUGACAAGAGAUUCCGUAAUUAUUAUCUUAGACGAAAACAAUUAUCAGAAAUCAAUGUCUACUUACCGAGGCUACUAUGUUGGAAAUCGUACGUCUCCCAUAUAGUAUGAAGCUAUAUGGGAGAUGGGAGACGUACGAUGGAUGCUUUCACAAGAAAAUGAAGAGGAGUUAUUGAAUUCAUCCGUGAAAGCUCAGGUUCUUUCAAAGUUUUUGGGCUCCAAACUAAGGAGAAAAAGAAAGAGUUGCCUCAUCCGUGCGGGAAAGAAACAAAAAAAAGUUCGCUUUGCUUCAAGUGUUUUUGCAGGUCAUGUGAGAAAAACAAUCUUAAUAGUAAGUGUAAGCUUUCACUCAUAAUAAAUUAUGUUUGAUAAUUGUGCGACAAUUCUUUUUUUAUGUAUGUUGUAUUCAUACUAUAUUUUCAGUUAAAUAUGUUCCAAGCUGAGUUGCUCAUUACAAUUUUCUCAUGUUGCGACUACCGUGCUUCUGUACCCGACAACAAUGAGUGAUAAAUCAUGUCUAAUUUCGGAAUGAAUUUUGCUGCAAGGUUACCUCCAAAUGCUUUUUCAACCAAACAACUAACGACCUUUUUUUUUUUUUAAAUAAAAAUUUGAAGACAUGGCAUAAUUUGUGCAAUGCUCAUAGCUCUUGAAGUAGGCAAGUGGGAACAAGACAUGAAUGGAUAGGCAGGAUCACAUGCAUCGUACCAAAAGCCACAUACAUCAUACUCGUUAAUAUUUUUUGUAUUUUAAACCGGUUAUCACAUCAGAAAAAUCGUCAAAUCAAAUAUAAUCUUAUUAUAUAGAUAUUAAUUUAAUCUUAAAUUUUACAAUUUCAUCAAUUUAAUUCUAAAUAUUUAUACAAUAUUUCAAUAUAGCCCUUGUGAUCAAUUUUUAAUGAAAAUCACUGGACAAUCUAAGAUAAUUAAAUCACCAUAUCAAUGAUUUUCGAUAGAAAUAGGCCAUAGAGGUUAUAUUGAUAUAUUAAACAAAAGUUUAGAUGAUUAAGUUGAUAAAAUUGUUAUAUUCUACCAAGAUUGUUUUCGGAAGUGACGCGUGAUGCAAUAGUGACGAUAUGGCACUAGUGCUGAAAUUAUUGGAAGCCUUCCAUGAGGUUUGCUCUCUGGAGUCAUUGUGAAAAUAUGGAAUGCAUUCGUACGAAUUGGCCGACACGCACUAUCCCUGAAAGCUCAAUCUGUGGCUGGCAUGGACGGAGUACAAACACGAGUUGGAAAAGGAAUGUGAACCUUCAAGAAACCUAUCUCCACGGUGACUGUUGGGGGGGCUUGUGUACACUACCUUGGUCCAGUACCUCAACUUGAACUUCACGUACAUUUUGGACCUCAAUUGCUAUAUUCUGACGUUUGAAUGAAAAUAAUAUAAAAUCAUAACAUGAUUUUUCCGGACAAAAUGAAUAUGAUCAACAUUCCGCACUUGGUCAAGUUUGACAUGUAAAUCUAAUUAAGGAAUCCUAGAAGGAAUCCUAGAUGGCCGGGGAAUCUUGUGAAGAAAAUAUAGCAGUUGAUCAACAACAUACUAAUGAUUUACCAUGAAAAGAUUGUUAAGGGACUGAGAUAGCUGAACUUAAGGAAUUUCCUAAAGAGAACAUAUGGGUUAGUUGAAGCAAUUGUUCUUCCGAUUGAGCAUCCUCGUGGAUAAUAUGAAAUGGAAAGAAUUUACAUAAGGUAAUAAAUAGAACCAAGAAUAUUUUAUACGGAGGAAGCAAAUUAUUCUUCAAAAGAAGUGUUUCGAGAAAAUUAUAACUCAGAUAAUACUUAUCUAUCUUGUCCAAAAAAAAAAAGAUAAUACUUAUCUACGACUCUACUAAUACUUUGCCAGCAUCAUCAAAAUCCCGAAUUUCAUCAAUCAAGUACUAUUCUCUACACCAUAUGCAAUUUAGAAUAAUAAAUAAAAAAGAAACCACAAUUUUGAGUAGUAAAAUUUUCCUUUAUUUACUCAAUUUCUCUCCUUCAGCAAUACACAAUUUUUUCUAUAUUACAAAUAUCGAAUGAAUUCGCGUUUUUCCUAAAUGUUUGUACAUAACAGGUUAAACUCCUGAAUUCAGUCGCUUAUUCCGAAUUUUCCAAUUGUUUUUUUUUUUUUGGUCAAACGAAUUUUCCAAUUGAAUUGGAGAUAAGAUAGAGACGACAUCUCCAUCACAUUAUGGAAAAGCAUUCAUCAAUUAUUUUUCUCAUCCAUCCGAAACGCUCAUCUUUCCGAUUCUUCAAGGCCAUCAUGACCUCUACCUUUUAGAGCCAAUGUGGAACGCAUUGCUUGCCAGCCCAAAAGGAAAUGGAAAAAAUUCAAAGCACCGACACCAUCAGUGCGUCCCAGGAACGACCAUGUGAAGUAUCUGUCCUCUUAUAGAACCGUGCAGCCGGGGCAUCAUUGAAUCUAGAGAUCAACAUCCAUAGGUUACUAUGUAGCAAAUAGUAAGUCUCCCGGUAGGGAACCAUUCGGGAAACAUACAAUAAAUGUUUUCACAAGAAAAUGAAGGAUGAGAAGCUCUCUUGACGUGUACGUGAAGCUAAGGUUUAUAAAGUUUAGGAUUUUGUCUUUUGUGGACUUCAAUCUUUGUGGCUGAACGUGUGAAUCUUUUUCUCUGGAAUUUUGGCUAUGCGCAUUUCAAAAUAUUUUGCUCCAGAAGUUAACGUUGCUAAAGCAAUAGAUUGGUGCCUACAAAUAGGGCAUUUGAAAGCUUCAGAAUGCGAAGCUUCACAAGUAAAAAGGAAAAGAGAAGUGGCUUGUCCGUCCGUGAGGGAAAGAAAUGUUCUUACUUCUUUGCUUUAGUCUUUUGGCGCGAUUGUUCCAAGUAAUAUUGGUUUUUGCGAUUUUUUUAUGAUAAACAGAAUUAAUUUUGGGACCUCAUGUUCCGAUUGUUUAUAAUAUUUCUGGUGACAAUUUGCAAUUUUUGAAAGGAAGCAAGCAACACAAAAUAUGAUCUUAAAUUGACGAAAAAAGAGAGAAACAAAAAGCAAAAUGAGUUGGGUGGCCACAUGUCUACACCUUAGAGGCUCCCUCCCCAUGCACCAUUAAUGAGUUAUAAAUAUAGACAUCAUUCAUAUUUAAUUUUAGUUAAGUUUACAUAUUGGUAUUUCUAUAAGUUGAACACCAAUCAAGAUAUAAUUAGAGGUAAUUUUUUCCAACUAGGUACAGAGGAAAAAGUGACAUCACUUAAUAACGAGGAAAAUCACUUCAAAUUAGAUACAUUAUAAUGACACUCUUGGGCUACAUGCAUUUGGAAGAAGAAUGUGAGAUCUCAUUCUUACAUUUUAGGGAAUGUUUCAUUCUACCCUUCAUGACUUUGAAUUUGGUGAGUGUCCGAUCUUGAACUUCAAAAAGCCACAUCCCUCUUCCAUCUAAUCCAAACUUGUAUUUUGUUAUGCUCAUUAACACCACUAACUUUUUUCCAUUAACAUGAAUGACACGUCUUUUAUGGGAUAAAUAAGAUAUAUAUCUUAUAUAAUCUAAAAUGCUUUUUUUGAAUGAUAUACACCUUUUAUUAAAAGAUAAAUUCUUGAUAUGACGAGCAUUGAUUGUCUAAUUGGUGACGGAUUACUUGUAAUGAAGAUUGUUUUAUUGCGUUUGCGUCACGUCCGUGGUUAAUCACAAAUUUAUCUUUGUGUUAAGUUAAACGAGUACCUAUUGGCUUUUUUGGCAUUGUAAAAGUUGUAUUUACGGAAUGAAUAGUACAGCUCCUUUCAGAUGCUCUCUUUUCCAUCCCCCAUUUGCGUCACAUCUCGUGUCACGUCCAUGGUUAAUUACAAAUUUAUCUUUGUGCUAAGUUAAACGAGUACCUGUUGGCUUUUUUGGCAUUGUAGAAAUCGCAUUUACAGAAUGAAUAGUGCAUCUCCUUUUUUUUUCCAAAAAUAGUGCAUCUCCUUUCGGAUGCUCUCUUUUCCAUACCCCCCUCCUUUUGUCCUUCCUUUUUCUUUAAUUCUUUUUCGUUAUUUUUCCUUUUUCUUUCCUACCGAAAGAACGUACUACUCCUUUGGUGGGUGGCGAGAGGGGGGGGGGGGGGGGGAGAGGCAAGGGUAAUUGUGGAAAAAACCUCAUAUUACACCUUACAAGUCACAAAGGGGUUGUAUCUCAAUUAGAUCUGAAUGAAAAAUGACCAAAACCACUUCAUUCACAGUUAAUUUGGUGAAGGAUGAUGAACCGUUAUUUCGUGAUUAGAGUCAUAAGUAAUGCAUUGAGACAUGUAAUUGCGCUUGUAUUGCAUCGGUCAAGGCCUUUCUCUAUCAUCGUGUUUCGCAAAUGGAAAAAUCGGUCUUUCGAUCUCAUGAAUCGUGGACGCAUCUCUCUCUCUCUCUCUCUCUCUCUUCCUUCCCUCUUUUCCUUUUCUGCUGGUUAUUCCAUGGUGGAACAGACCCACAGUCCCUUUGUCUCAUCGUGAAUUCACAGUGCUUGAGCGAGGUGUAAAAAGAAACGCUCGUGAUAUUUGACCGACUGCUCCCUGGGGGACCUUUGUCACUUUCAGCAUCCGUCUGUACCGCUCUUCUUUCCAAGUCUGCAAAGCCACGGACUUCUUUUUGGCGUGUCAAUGUGAAACACGCUGGUCGCGCCCACAUAAAUUAUUACGUUCCCCCAGUCAGUACGUUCCCUUUGUUCACUCUCAUUCAAGUUCUGUGCAGCAUGUGACAAGAGAUUCCGUAAUUCUUGUCUUCGACGAACAUAAUUAUCAGAAAACAACGUUUACUUGUCGAGGCUACUGUGUCCGGAAAUAGUACGGGUAAUAGUAGGGAACUAUUUGGGAGACGUACAGUAGAUAGAUGUUUCGCGAGAACAUGAAGAUGAGGAGCUAUGAAGUCAUAUGAUAAGCUGAGGUUCUUUCAAAGUUUGUGGGCUUCAAACUGAGGAAAUUAACAUAGAGUUGGCUCAGAAAUAAAAGACUUCGCUCCAAGCCUUUUUGCAUGUCAUGUGAGAAAAACAAUUGUAAUGGUAACUGUGUGACAAAUAUUUUAUUUGUGUGUUAUAAUUAUACCACAUUUACAAAUAAAUAUCUCCAGAGUUGCUCAUUAUAAUAUUUUUUGUGUUACCAUUGCCGUGCUUCCAUGCCCAACAACAAUUGAUGGUAAGUGAUAUCUACUUUUAGAACGAAUUUCAGUCUAAAUUUACCUCCACAUGAUUUUCCAGUGAAACCAUAAAUGAUCUCCUUCUUUUAUUACUAAAAAUUUGAAGACAUGGUAUAAUUUUUGCAAUGCUCAAUUGCUCAUAGCUCAAAGCUGGAUAGUCACGAUGAUUACCUGAUUCGGAAUACUACCCAACCCACGUGGUGGGGGGCAUGAAGUGACGUUUUCUUUGACAAAAAUCGAGACCAGAAAAAGCAUAGUAGAAGAUCUUGCUUACAUAGAUUUAUCUCUCGACAAUAUCACAAAGAUUUAUCUCUUGACAAUAUCUUCCGGUAGCUUUACAAUUACUUGUAUCCGUACUUAAUUUGCUCUUUCGUUCCCAACAACUUUCCUUCCGACUCAAUGAUUCUCCUUUCCAUGACUCCCUUCAUUUUGAGCUUUAUUAGCUAUUUAUUCAGUCCUGCGAAUUCACUAUUAGAACUGAUAAAGAUAAUUGGAGAAGUUCAUCAUUGAUAAGAUUCUGAUUUUUAUCAUGAUAUUAUAGGUUAAUCAUCUUGACUUACACGUUCUUAAUGAUCUAUCACGAACUUUUCGAGUAAGAUGUCGGUCAAAAAUAAAGAAUUUAGAUGAAUGGACAUUCAAGAUUUAACUAUGUGAUCUUUUGAUGACACUAAUCAUUCUCAAUAACCUUAGCUUUCCCACAUGUUUAAUCAACAUAACCUUAGCUUUCCCACAUGUUUAAUCAACAUAAUACUUGACUUGGAGGAAUCAUCUCUCCGUCUCUCCUAGACUCUUGAAAUCAAUUUUGACAUCCCAAACAUAAUAGAUUCACAAGUAGCAAGUAUUUUUUAGCCGGUUCCAAAAGUAUAAAUACUCUGAUUCCAUGGUUCGUUAGAAGUUUCGCAUAUUUUACUAUUUGGUUGUGCUAUAACAAUAGAAAUAAUAGAACAUUUUCUUUAGAUGUGCACGCAAUCACUUGGAUGGAUGGGUUUUUUUUUCCUCUUUAAUGUGUAGUCGAGCCCUUUCUUUUUCACCGAUUUUGAAAAAGGAGGCAUUGAUGGUUGCAAUUACUAAGCUUUAUUUUCUAUGAGUGUAAGUAAUUUCUAGAAAAUCUCAAUUCCUCCAAUGACAAUGUUUAAAUCCCAAGGAGGUUAGUUCGAUAUGGUGUGCUUUGCUAAUCUCUGCCCUCCCCUUGCAUUUCGCAAUACAAAUGCAACCCUUUACGUGUUUAUUCCUUUGCGAAACUCAAGCAGUCUCUUUGAUUAUAAUACUUACCAAUGGCAGCAUUGUUUCUUACACGAAAGAUUAGUUUCGCAGAGCAAAGGACGUAGCAAAAAUGCGAUUCCUAAUCCUGCUCUUGCAUGCAGUGAUGCUUGCUCCUCUUUAGAAAUUACUCAAAAUUUUUUUUUUCUUUUUAAUUGUGUAUAAUGUGAUGGUGGAUUGUCCAUUAAUAGGGGGCUUUUUAUUUUCGUGGUUGAUCAAGUACCACCGAACAUGAGAAAAAUUAUUAUCGAAGAUGACAUGGUGCCUGCAUCGCUGAGAUAUGGCAAGUAAUGUGGGCUGCUAUACAACAUAUAGACGUUCAGGAUUGAGACCUUGCGAUGGCCUCACCAAUUGCUGCAUGAAGUAAGACGCCCGCAUCCAAGUUUUCAGCCCAAAAUGAAAACCGCAAAUAUUAAAAAGAACCAGAAAACCCAAUUGAAGUUCUAAGGGGCCUAACGGUUAAAGAAAAAGUUUUAAUUUUAGUUUUCAAUGUAAACGAAAAUUUUUCAUUUCCGGUCUUUCGUUCCCUUGAGCAUAUGCUCGGCUUGUAGAAAUAAGAACUUCGUAGAAAUAAGAACUUCUAAUAGGAAUGUAAAUUUAGACCUGUUUGCCGUGCCUUUGCAAUCCGUCAUUAUGCACCUUCUCCAGCAAAAUUUACCCAAUUGAGUUGGAAUUAAUAGAUAUCCUCUCUCGAUGGGAAUCCUACCCCAAUGGUGGUAGUUUACACCCAGAAAACCCUAAUGCUCUUCACUGAAUACAGCAGUCAUUUCAUCUAGUCUCUACCAAGAUGCAAAUCUCCCGUUUCCUUUUCAACUUUGGCCCUUUACCAAAAAUCCCCAACCUUCCUAUAAAUCAUGUUCACCGUUCCAUAAGCUAACCCCAACCCAGCUUCUGAUACAACCCGAUCUCCAUUCUAUAGCAUCACGCCCUACAAGCAUAGGGCAUGCAAUCAAUGACCAUAAUAUCAUCUGAAAGCAACAACCUUGGUUAAUCCUCGCCCAAAUUUCAAACCCAAAAUCCCGACCUACCCCAUUAGCCUCCCAGAACGUUGCAUUGUCUUUGGACAGCAUUUUGCCAUUACAGUGUAUAGUGAUACAACCCCAAGAAUGAAUUUACAGGAAUAGCUGCUUCUAGCGUACUUCUCACAGGGAGUAAGGUGCCUGCCUCUCGUGCAUCUUCAAUGGAAGAAUUCGACACCUCAGAUUAUCGAGUUGCUAUCCUCUGCAGAAAAUUGGGCAAUUUUUGGUCGGAAAAAAGACCUGGCAGAGAUAGAUGGUAUGGUCCCAACUGAGAGAAUACAGAAUGUUGUCUAACUAUGUUUGGGCAAUUGUUCUACAACCCCAAUAACAAUCUCCAAGCCUUCCAAAACACUAUGGAGGGGGCAUGGAGAGUGGAUUCAGUUACCUUGGAUCGAGUAGACUCAAGAACUUUAGCCUUUAUCUUUAAGUUUGGAAAUGAAAUGAACAGAAUUCUUGAGACAAGGCCUUGGUCUUUCUCUAGCAAUCCUUUCGUGCUUAAACCAUGGACAUCGACCACUUCGCAGUACAGUUACAAUUACACACAUUAUGAGUUUUGGGUUCAAGUGCACAUAUUACCUACAGAUAACCAUAAGGCAAAUAGCAGCAGCAGUAGGCUUGGUAACUGAAGUGAAAAUUGAUACAAAGGGGUUUAGCUCCUAUACAGGUGGAAAAGCUAGAGUAAGAACUGAUUUAUUGUCCCCCUUGAAACCUGGGACAUUUGCCAGCCAAGGAGGAAAGAAACUAUGGGUCGACUUUAAAUAUGAGAGAUUACUGCACUUUCGUUAUGCAUGUAGUUGCAUAGGGCAUUAUGCUAAGUUCUUUGAGGAAGAAGAAUAUGACGAGAACUGGUUAGAAAUUGAUGAUCCUAGUUGCUUUGGAAGAAGAGCCCUCUUUGGAAGCUGUUCUAUGCAAAACCAGAGGAUAUAAUCAUAGACGAUGAGAUUAUUCCAGAAACUCCUAUCCCCACCCUGCAAAUGGUGUCCUAUGAGCCUACGGGAAAGAAUCCAUUGGUUCCUAGUAGUGGGAACAAUCUGGGAAAGUCAGCUUAGAUUUUUACUGAGGAGAUAGAAGCAAUUGGAAAACGUGGCAUCAGUCCAUAUAAAAACAAAGAAAAGAGCUUGACGUUGAUAACAACUCCAAACCACUCUACACUGCUGGAAGGCAGCUCAAAAAGGCCCCCAAAAAGAAAUGUAGCAAGGGGAAGAAAACAGGUGGAAACAAAACACAGUGAAGGUAUAGUCCUUACGCUUCUCAAAAGGUGAACUCUCUUGCCUUAAAUGAGACCAAACUUCUGUAGACUCCAAUUCAGGUUUUGGAGGAUCCUAAGAUACGGGCUUCGAUGGUUAUCACUAAUAAGCCAUUGAGGUUCCCAUGAUAAUUUUUUGCUGGAAUUAUUAGGGGUCAGACACACCCAAGGCAAUCUUGCCAUUGAGGUCUGGAAAGGCCCAGCAUUAUUUUUCAGAUGGAAACAAAGAAUCAAGAUUUGUGGUAUGAGCUUGAAACGAAUCCAAUUCCAGAACUGUGCAGUGAUGAAUUCAAAUGGAAUUGUAGGGGGAUCAGCAAUUUUACGGAAUGACAUGGUUGCGCUAACAAUGGAAUCAAUCACAAAUGAAAUGCUUGACCUAAUAUGUACAGAUAGUGGAAAACAUAUGAGAAUUACCUUUGUACAUGCUCCAAUAAUCAGCCUCCAAAACCAGCUUCCUUCGAUUUGGUUUGGUUUUUUUUUUUUUUUUGUUGUGGGGGGGGGGGGGGGAACUGAACUUUGAUGAAAUUUUGUAUCACUGGGAAAAAGUACACAAGCAUAUGGUGGAGCACCAAAGGUCAAUGGCUUUUUGAGAUAUUAGACAUUAUAAAUGCAUGAUCUUUAAUGGAUCUUGAAUGUAAAGGAUGUGCAUUUACAUGGGCAAAUAAUAGGAAUGGGGAUGCCCAUGUGAAAGAAAGACUAGAUAGAGCUCCAUGCAAUGUAGAAUGAAGAGUGACAUCCCAGAAGUGGAAACGUAUGCCUCUUAUAGGCACCAACCAUAGUCCUAUCUUGCUAACUCUCUCAACGGAACCUGCAAAAAGAAAGAGAUAAAUUAAGUUUGAAGCAUACUAGCUUAAAGAUAAUGAAUGUGGUCAGCUAGUAAGUUUAGUGUGGAAUUCUCCAGGCAUGGAAAUGAACAUUUUCUGAAGAAACUACAAGAAUAGAGGCCCUAACGAAGUGGAGCAAGCGGAAGUUCUCUAAUGUUAAUAGUCAAAUCAACUGCUUGAAUAGGGAGCUUUAGGAGUCAACAAAUGAGCUGAGCUUGCAUCAUGACGGACAAAAUGCAGCAACUGAAAAUGCAAUUGAAGAUCUGUGGAAACAAGGAGAAAUGUAUGGGGGUAUGCACUCAAGAAUAUACUGGCUGAAUAGGAUGAUAGAAAUGCUGAGGAAGCCCAAUAGAAUGAGCACAACAUGCUAAUCUCUCGUUUUGAUGAGCAUUUAGUAAAUGAUAUUCUAGCUAUCCCGCUCUUAACGCCGAUGAAGACUAGCUAGCGUGGACAUGCAACCAAGCAGGGGGCUAUGCUGUUAAAAGUGGCUACAAACAACUCCAGGACAUUGAGACUAAGCAUGAAGCAAAUCAAGCCUCAUCGUCCUCCCAAACUCCAAAAGCCCUUUGGACUAAGGCAUGGAAUCUAAAGACAACCCAAAGUAAGGGUGUUUAUGUGAAGUACCAUUCUCUCGUUCUGGAGCUUGGCUCUCUCCGUCUGGGUUCCAUCAACGAAUCUUCAGUUCCCAAAUGCCUCCGAAGAUCACGCCACCUAAGCCAUCGGGUUCCAUCAAAAGACAUAUUUUUAUCUUCAGUUCGCCGCUAUGAAUCUUCCUUCUCUCUCAGAAAUGAAUCUCCUAUUCUCGAUUUUGCCAAUAAAGACACUUUUUUUUUACCUGGCCAAAUGCCCCGAACCAGACAUUUUUCCCCUGUAAUGAAAAAGCAGAGGCAUUCCCACGCAGCCCUACAGAUAAAAAGGACGUACCUAAGUCAGUCAAAUCUCAAGAAAUCCCGAAAAUGCCACACCAAGUUCCCGAAAAGCCUCAUCCAUGCAGUGCAAGAUUCCUUUUUAAAAAAAAAAAAAAAAAAAAAACUCAGUUCAGGAUACAUAGCGAGCAUGGCAACUGGUUUUGAGAAGGGAUGUUUUCUUAUGGGAGCUGACGAAAAAAACUGCCCGUGGUUUUGAGGAGAAGUCACACCCAUCUUUGGAAGCCAAAACACACGAGAAAGGAAGGAAGAGAGUGUAUUCAUACGCAGGAGGGGGAGAGAGGGAGUGAAAAUUUAACCGACUUAUUUUGAUUGUAUUUUCAGCAAUUGCUCGGACGGUGGGGCAUUUGUCUGAGAGUUCUGAGGUUAUGAAGCUUGUGAAAGCUCCUGAAAUGGCUGUUCCCAAGGUACAUUUCCUGUAUCGGUUGAUACUGUAUCCGUUGAUGUGAUUUUAUAAUUUGCAUGAUGCACUCUCUCCUAUGGGGGUUUUGUCAAUUGUGUAUUUGCAUAUUAAUGUUCCUUUUCUUGUGAAUGUUCAUAUUCAGAAUGAUGAGGGUGAUGCUUAUAUUCAAGCUUUUUCUGAUGAUAUGUGGCUGUUGAGAGACAACGGAAACUUUAUCUCCUUUUCGGCUUUAUCAUUUUCAAAUACACUGAUAGUUUGAACCUUCAUGAGUGGAUGAGAGAUGAGAUAAUGGUAUGAAUGACUAUAUCAACAUGACCUUAUAAUGCAUAAUUCAAGAAUAUUAUCUUGAGCAAUUUGGGAAUGUUAGUUCUCCAUUUCUUGCUCACUUGCUGGAAUAUGGCUUGUGAAGUGGGAAAAAGUUGGAAAUGCAAAUUGUGAAAUGUUUUUGUUACUUCUGAUCAGAAAGUUGUGAAAACAAUGGGUUGUGGAGUAGCCUGCAUCCUGCGGCAUAUGAAUAGCAGAGGCAUAUAUUUGAUUGCUGGAUGUAGCUUGUUUAUAUGAUAUAUAGGCUGGUGUGAUGGAAGAAUUUGUGAAUGACGCGAUUGACACAGCUCUUGACACGGAGGACAUGAAGAGGAGAUAGAUGAAGAGGUUGAUAAGGUCUUGACAGCCAUUGCCGGUGAGACAGCUGCCCUUCCAGUGGUAGUGAGGAAGCAAAAGGUGAAGCAAUCUGCUCAACCUAUCAACCUACUGCAGAAGAGGUACAUCUGCUAGUUCCCUUACUGAUGGAACUUAUUUUUGGUCAUUCUUUUAUUUCCCCGAUAGGGAGCUAAUUGAGAAACAAUCACUGCUGCAUUCUUACUUUUUUCAUUUAUCAAUGAAUUUGGAAUUUGUAGGAUGGGCGGUAGCCGAGGGUGUUGAUGAUGAGGAAGAACUAGAAGAAAUGAGAGCUCGCCUUGCAGAAGUUAGGUCUUUAGUUCCAAUUUUUCUAUUGUUCCACACUUUUGACAGCCCAAAAGGCAGGGAAAGGAGGGGCAAACUCUAUUUCGCCUAACAUGGGAGGAACGCGAGUCCCCUUUACUGUAUUCUGAUUGAUGUAGAGGAGAUCCUAUACAAAACUUGAACGGUCGAUGAAACAUGGUGUAAUGAUGUAUAAAUAUGCAAGUUAUGUAUAAACUUGAGCUUGUGGUGAAUAUUGGGUACGUGGGUCGACAAAUUUACCAAUAUUGUGUAACACCUGAGCCAGAGCUUCCAUUCUUUCAACAGGAGCAGAGAUGGAGCAAGUGUCAGGUGAUAGGGGAGCGGCCGCUUGACGAACCUUGGAGCAGCAACAAUAAACGCGGCGUAGCAAAUGAGAGCAAAAGCAAAGAUUCAAAUUAAAUAUUAAGCAUUUUUCAGCUCUAAAUGAAAAACACAAAUAAAGAAAAGAACUAGCAUACCCAAAUUGAAGUUGGUUCAUGAAAAAAGGUUUUAGUUUUCGUUUUCAAUGUAAAGGAAAAAUAAAAGAUCUUCAUUUCUCCUUCUUUUUUCCUCUUGAAAAUAUGUUUGGUUAGUAAAAGAACUUCGGAUAGGACUCAAAAUUUAAACAUGUUUGUGGUGUCUUAGCAAUCCAUCAUUUUGUACAUUCUUUGAACUAAUAAUCCCAUCUUUUCAUUUGGUGAUUACAAAGUACCAUAGCCGGCUAUCAACAAAAAUCGUCUUAUGAAGUAGGAGAUGCCGAUGAAAUUGGCAAUACAUCUCUACCACGAAUAAUGCGACCUGCUUCAUUUACCUUUGAAAGGAAACUAUUAAAACAUCCAUUUUCAAGAGGCAUCUAAACCUCUCCUCUCUGUACAUGCAACAAAAAUCUUGGAUACAGUCAAAAGAGCCUAUGAAUUAGUUGAGUACUCUAGAACUUGAUCGGUAGGCAAAAUUCCAGCCAAUGGCCUUACAGUAGCGUCUCUGGAUAGACAUACUUGACUUUGAUUGGGUAUAGUAGCUUGAAGAGCGAUGCGGUUCGAGGUAGCCAGUCUCUUAGGUCCCUACUUUUUCAGGGCGGAUGAAGUUACUGAUAAGUAGGAAAUCUUUAGCACAAAACUAGACUAAGAAAAUUAGAACAUCACAUACUAAAAGCCAAAACCCUGUUAUCCGAUGAGAGAAGUAAGGCCUUGUACAUGAGAUCUGGUGUCCCUGAUCAUCGAUUCAGUAUAGAGACGAGACGAAGGUACCAUGGAAUCCAUAGGGUGCCCUUUCAGGCAGUCAUUUUUUCCAUUGGCUCACCUUUUAACUUGUGCGCUUCAAUCACAAGAACCUGCAGAUUUCACGAUUUCAAAAUCACAUCAAACGUCGUUACUGGUAGGCAAACCUACUUGAUGAUUGCAUUGAAACUCUUAAACUUAACCUGGGAUACAUCUGUUUCCUCGUUAUGUACCCAAGAGACGAUCCAACCACUGUCCUCUCCGAGACCAUCUUUCUUAGGGACAACACACCUGCUGCAGAAACUGUCCUUCUCGAAAUUAUGGUACCUGGCCUUCAUCAACUUCUAGUGAUAUCUUCCCCUCUAAUUCAAGGUCAAGGCCGCAGUGAGGAACAUUUCGACAUGUACAAUGGAUAAUUAGAAUGACUCGAAAAACUUUCAGUAAUACCUCAGAGGCAGACAGCCCAGGACAAGGUUCGUUGAAGUAUAAUUUCACUAGACCUCCAUAUUAGCCAUUCCUGAAUCAAACGAGUGAUGCAUAAACAAUAGGAAACUGAUCUUAUGCGCUACUUUGGGGAAAUGGACAUGGACUUGAGAGUAGAGACUGGCAUUGCAUUACCACUUUCAGAGCUUGCUCUGAAUUGAUGACUUGAGCAUAACCAUACCCAUUACGCAAGCUAGUGAAUUCGGCAUUUAUGAAAGGGAAGUCUAUAGAGAAUUCAGUGCCCAUAAGAUUCGACUCCUGAACUUCCCCUGUUUCCUUGUUCAAUCUCCACUCAUAGGCACAGGUAAACAGAUAGCCUCCAUGUUUGUUAGCAUUUGCAUCCACCGGUUCUCUAAAGUUGAAUCCUCUCGAGAACCAAUCGAACGUGUUCAUACCCCAAUCGGGACACAGAAACACCACUGUAAGUGAUCUGCAUCUUCUCACCACAACCUGCAUUGCUGGUCAAUGUCAUUAUAGUUGAGGCUUAGUCUAAAAGGAUUUUAAUUUUCAAAUUAGGCUACUAGGAAAAAUAUACCUCAUAACCAUCCCGAAAGCAAUUGAUAUGUGAAAUGUGCAGCUUGAUUCUACAAAAAACCAUUGGACUGAACUCGCAUCUCCAUAACGUAGCAUCACCCCUAUCCUCGGAUAUCUUCCUGGUCAUAUUUCAGUAACCUACAUUCCAAGAAAACGAUUAGCUGCUUCAACAAACUGAAAAACUGUCACCAAGAAAGGCAUUACCAGCUCCUGCAAAUCAAUGCUACAUCGUGAGAUCAACUUGUUAUCUACUGAAUCAUGCUGUAAUGUGCCAGUGAGGAAUCUCCAUGUUUCCAGAGCAGUCUUGACACCAAAACUUUCAUAAAGCAAUUACAACGUCCAGCUCUGCCUACAUUCCUGUGCCAAAACAAAUAGUCCAUUUACACAGGCACUUCACUCCUAAUCUCACAACAGAACCACCUCCGCAUAUGGUUCUCUUCAGGUUUCAUGUCCCAGAUCAAAAUAGCAUCGUUUCUUUUAUCGUGUAUAGCACGAUAUAGUAUAUCUUGCUAUUUUGAACGUCCAUAAUCAGCAUCAAUGGAACCAAUCCACCUUGCACAGCAUAAAAAUUCCAAUGCUUGAAUGAUUAUAGCAUAAAAUCAGAAUAUGUUUUUUCCAGAUGGGAUGAAUUUGAUUGAUAGUCUGGCCUUGGUCAAAUCUGACACGUAAAUCCGAUCAAUGAAUACUCUGGUGAAGAAAAUAUAGCAGUGUAUCAGAACACACAAAUUAUUUACCACGAAAAGGAAUGGUUAAGGGACUGAGAUAACUAGAGUUAAGGGAUUUUCUGAAGAGUACAAAUGGCUUAUUUGGAGCAAUUGAUCUUCCAAUUGAGCAUCCUCAUGUAAUAUACGAAAUUGAAAGUAUCUGCACAAGCGAACAUGCAUAACCAAAUAGAUUUCAAGGGAGAAGCCAAUCAUUCUUCAAAAGUAGAACUUCGAGAAAAUCAUUUUUUGAAGUAUUUGCAGCAGUUAAAAAUAUUUUCAUAUCAGGAAAAAUGAAUCCUGAUUUAAAUAGAACCCACAUUACUCUAGUUCCAAAAAUUCAUAACCUAGAAACCCUUGAUCAAUUCUGCCCCAUUAGUUUGUGCAAUUUUGGCCUAUAAAAUCAUAUCCAAGGUAAUCGUGGAUAGACUCAAAACUUGGUCAUCGAAAUUGAUAGCUCAAUAGCAAAGUGCAUUUAUGAGUGGGAGACUUAUCCAGGACAAUAUCAUGAUAGUGCAGGAAGUGUUGCAUCAACUAAGAGCAAAGAAGAGGAGGAAAAAAAUUCCUAGCGGUUUUGAAACUUGAUACGAAAAAGGCGCAUGACAGAGUAGAAUGGGACUUGUUGGAGGCAUGCUUAAGGAAACUGGCCUUUGAUGAAAAGUGGAUUACAUGGGUUUGAAAUGUGUAUCUUCAGUCUCAUUUAGUGUUAAAUAUAAUGGGAAUCCUCUUCCUUACUUCCAACCUUCCAGAGGACUUCGGCAAGGUGAUCUUUCAUCCCCUCAUCUCUAUAUUUUUGUGGCAAACAUUUUAUCUUUUAUGAUGAAUAAAACAGUGGAGGAUGGCAGUAUCGAGGGUAUUAAGCUCAACUCUUCUUCCCCUACCAUAUCACAUCUCCUAUUUGAGGAUGAUUCCAACUUCUUUUUAGAGUGGAGAAUUCAAGAAUGCCAAUCUAUAUCAGAUGUAAAAUCAGUAUGGUUUUGCUAUUGGACGGGAGAUAAACCUAAACAAAUCAGGAAUACUCUUUAGCUCAGGGUGUCCACAGACCAUAAGAGCCAAUAUGGCUUAUGAAUGGCGUGUCUUAGAACUGGAUAAAACAGGAAAAUACCUCGAAACUCCUUUGGAUUGGGGAGAGUCUAAGAAGAAUAUGUUUUUCCUGGAUACUUGGAAGAUUUAACAAAAAAAUGGAAGGUUGGAAGGAAUCUUUAAAUUCUAAAGCAGGAAAGGAGAUAUUACUAAAAAAACAGUAGCACAGGCUCUUCCUCAAUAUGCAAUGUCAAUUAACAAGAAUCCCCUUUCCAUACGUGAAGUGAUUGAACACAUAAUGGCAGCAUUUUAGUGGAAAAGCAGAGAAUUUCACUCUGGUAUUUUGGAAGAGUUGGGAUUUCUUGAAUCAAAGGAAAGACAAUGGAGGCAUGGGAUUCAAAGAUUUACUUUCUUUUAACAAAGCUUUCUUAGGAAAGCAAGCCUUGAGAUUAAUGCACCAGUCUUGCUCUUUAUGGGGUCAAAUUUUUUAAGGCAUUUACUUCCCAAAAAGGAGUUUCUGGCAUGCUGGGAAAGGGCAUAGACCCUCUUGGGGUUGGCAAAGUUUACUAGAGGGAAGAGACUCAAUCUUAGAAUCUUCAAUGUGGACAGUAAAAAUAGGAGAAGCAAUCAAUAUCAUAUAGGACAGAUGGUUGAAAAGAGGUGUAAUUGGAGGGCCAGUGAGUGAAAAUGACCCGCAACAGGUAGUAGAGCUUAUAAACCACAAAGAAAAUUCCUAGAAUGAACCUCUUCUUUGAAAUAUUUUCCAAGAGGACAUCGCGAAGGAAAUUCUAGCUAUUCCUCCAACAACCCACUCUAUUCAAUACAAACUGGUGCGGACAUAUUCAUCAACAGGAAAUUACUAGUAAAGAGUGGCUUCAACUACAUAAAACUUACCUAGAAUGUCCGAAAAACUCCAAUAGCCUCCUCAUCUUUCCGGGCUCCUCAGGCUUUAUGGAAUAGGACCUGGAAAAUGCAAACAAUCCCUAAAAUUAAUCUCAUUCUAUGGAAUGCAUGUCAGAAUAGUCUGUCCACAAUGGAGAACUUAUACAAGCGAAAAAUAGUAUUGGAUCCUUAUUGCUCACUGUGUAGAGACUAGGUGGAAUCACCAGAGUGUCCCCUUCUCCUUUUGUCCUCGGACGCGAGACAUAUGGGCUUAACCAUCCCUAAACAUUCAGGUUUCUCCCCAGGGUUAAGCAGAGUAGAGAUAAGGCUAAUGCAAUUCCUCAAAAGCACGGAAAACCCACCUUCUUUGGCACUAGUAGCAACCAUCUUUCAGCUUAUUUGGACUUCCCGUAACAACUUCAUAUUUCGAAAGAAACCCCCAGACCCAGUUCAAGCACUACAGGGGAGCUCUAUCUUCUCUCGCCAAUUGCAGGAGAUGGAAUUCACAGCAAAAACUCGGACCUUGACGCUCCCACCUCUUCUGAGAACUGGAAACCCCCCAAAGGUCGGAUCUUUAGAGGUCAACAUUGAUGAAUCCCUUCGUUGAAAGCUCCAUGGAAGGAGCAAUCGCCUGCAUUAUUCGAAACUCAGAAGGGACGCUUGUGGAUGCACACAUAAUUAUCUCACAGCUGCGUAUCGCCCCCAUUGCCAUCGUGAAACCAACUCCAUUGCAAAAGGACUGGAUUUCUUCCCCUCCCCAAAUCUGGGUGGAUUUACUUUGGAAGGAAGCCCAGUUCAGGGACCCUGCAUUUUCAAAUUGAAUAAAAGUAAUCGGUUUAUGAUCCACCAAAAAAAAAAGCGAGUAGGAAAUGUUGAUGAAAUUGGCGAUACAUCUCGACAAUGAAGCGUGACCUGCUUUUAUUUACCUUUGAAAGGACGUGAAUCGUUCCGACAUCUUGGCCAAAGUGCUCUACUGAUCGGAGCGUUAUUUGCAUGAACCGAUGGUUUCUCUGCUGCAGUAGCGCAAUGAACGAUAUUCCAUCAAGUUGCGUCGCCGAACGGCUUUUAGAAUUUAGACGCCUCGAUUCCUGGAGCUCUGUGAUUUCCAGAAGUUCAUCCGAAAUUGACCCCCCCAUCAUUCCGUAAAACCUCCGAAAUUCGACAGGUGUGGUCAAUUUGUUGAGGCCUUGCAGUUGUCCCUCUAUGUAAAUGAGCGUAACACAGUUUUGACUCUCUCCAGGCCCUGAACUUCCUCAAGAUUCCAACACCCUCGAAUGUCCAAUAGUCUAAGGUUAUCGAAGAGCGAGAGGUUCGGUAAUUUUCUAAUGGAAUUGCACCCCCACAUACUUAAAUAUGUCAAUUUUUUCAACCCCUCUAGGCCUUCAAUUUCGACUACAUCAUGGCAUUCAGAGACCACUAAUUCCCUCAGAUCUGUUAAUUGCGAAAUGUUGAGUCUUGUAAGGGUCUGGCAACGAGUAAUACUUAGCACUUCCAAGUUUUCAAUAUGCCAAGGCAUAGAACUUGAAAUAGAGGAUCAUUUAUUAGUGAAGCGUUUAAGUCUUCUAUUUCCAAUUCUCUCAAAGACUCUAGAUGUUCAAGGCCGUUGAGGUUGGGCAACUUAUUACAUCCAAACAAAAAUAGUCUUCCUAAAGAUUUUAAUCCUUCCAAACCCUUGAUUUCCAUCAGCUCACCACAGAAGACGAUGUUAAGGUUCAAGAUUCCUGAAGGAAGCAAUGGGAUGGAUUCCAAAAAUUUGCAAAUUUGAAAACUUAGCUCUUUUAGAUGGAUUAAGUGAGAAAGUUGAGGCAAUUUGCAAUUUUGACAAGUGACUUUCAAAACUGUUAAGUUGGCAGGAAAAUCGCAAUUAGUGAAAUCAAGGUGUUGUUGAGAAGAUAGGUCACUGAACAUUUGUAACGAUAGACCGUCUUGUUCUUGCAAUUCAAAAUGAUCUUCGGCAUGGCAAAGCUUCCCAAGUUGAAGGAUCUUCAAUGAAGACAACCCAUUUAUAGGAACACCCCCCUUGCAAACUCUUGCAGGCUCUGGCAUCUAAUUCUUAAAGUUUGCCCAACUUGCUAAUAGUACUAGGUAAACUACUCAAUUCUUUACACCCAACAAUUUUCAAAAUCUUCAAAUUUUCCAAGUCCCUGAUGGAUUCAGGUAAUUCUGAAAUUUUUGCACAUAUCAAAUGCAAUUCAAUCAAUGAUUUUAACUUCCCAAUUGAACGGGGGAUACAAUCAAAACAAUAAAUAUCUUCAUACUCCCAGGCCCCCCAAUCUUCAUAUGGAAAAGCUAUAUUGCCUAGUAACAGGCGCUGUAAUUUCACAAGCAAUCCAAUGCUCUCUAGAAAUCCUUUAAAUUUAGGGCAAAAUCUCAAGUCAAGAGUUGACAAAUUUACCAAAUGGCCAAUUGAGUCAGGAAGCUCUUGGAGUCUCCAACAACUGCUCAAGUUCAAGGAAGUGAGGCACUUAACAUCUCCAAUUGAAGGGUUGAUUUCCUCUAAUUUAUGGCAAUAUUCCAGGAUUGGUAUCUCUAAACUUUUAAACGUAGAGAGAUUAGGGGUUCUCACUAAAUCAAAGCAAUGCGAAAGAUUGAGAACUUUCAACCUCUCCAUCUACAAGAAAGAAACAUGUUCCAAGAUUAGCAGAUGGAAAUAGAAUGAUUCAUCAUCAAAUGUAACAAAAGAGAAAGCAUUUCUCAUACUUACCUUGAUUGAACUCCAUCCUCUCCAUUCAUGACUGAUAUAACCAUAUGAUAAAUCAAGUAUGAGUAAUUUCUCCAAAUGAAGAUUAGUUGCCCCGAAAGAAUUAGGACAUUCGUCCCACUUUAGCCAUCUUAAUUCAGAAAGUGAAUCCUCAAAAUUUCCAACAUAAUUCACUUUACUCUGAUGAAGGAACUUCAGAUAGGGCAUCCUUUCGAAGCUCCUUCUAUUCAUGAACAUGUUUGAGCCAUUUUCAUCCAGACGUAGUGCCUCAAUAUAUCUAUUUUCUUCCUACAAAAAAAAAAAAUAAGGAUAGUAAAUAUCAGCACAAGGCAUUCCCUGAUCUUGACAUGAAUACAAAGUGUCAUUAAAUAAAGAAUAGCAUACUGCCCAACUGCCUUUUGUUAGCAUACGUCCGCAUGCUAUUGUGACCAAUGCAUUUUCUCUCCACUUAUAGAGUACAUAUGAUCUUUUUAUAACCACACAAUCAUGUUGCAUUUCAAUUUUCAAUUUCAUGCCACAAAUUUUGGUGAUAUCGUGUAAAAUUCCUCCAUGAAAUAGUCUAGGUUUCUUAUAAGAUUUUAUAUUAAAUUCUGUAACUCACGAAGUAUUGACUACCAAGUAUUCGCUCCACUGGAGCACAUAUGGUGUCCCUUUGCAAUUGUGAGAACCGUUAGACUUUGGACAAAAAAGGGUACCCAAUCGGAUUUAUUACAAGCAUUUAUGCAUUCAUAAAGCAUGACAACUUAUUUCCUUUCCGUUCAUGAAAUAUUGUUCAUUUUGGCAUAUGGUUGAAUGGAAACGAGAGUGUUCGGUCAUUUUUUCUCUAGAAGCGCAAUUCUCUGUGUAUUUAUUUCUUUUUCGAUAGACAACUUUUGUGCAAUCGAAGCAGUAUCUUUUCGUUUCAUUGAAAAAUAAUAGGUUUUCAAAUUAAAACGCAACUACGGGAAAAAUAAUUGACAAAACCUCUCUUUUUUGAAAAUUGCUCAUCAAUAAAAAAAGAAAACACAUUACGGCCAAUAAAAAUUGCACAUUCUUUAGGGCACAAAAGCCUAUAAAAGUAGGUUAACAAAAAGUUACAAUUACGCAAUCACAUUAAGGACGUGCAUCUAUAUUGGGAAUUUCAUUGGUCUUUCUUUUUACCUUUAGGUAUUGUCCUUUCACUAUAUACCCUUUUACAACUCCAUACGGAUGUCUCUCUGUUUCCCCAAUUAUCACUUUAUUUGCAUGUUGCGUGACCAAAACUUUCCAGAAAUCCACAGUUUGCUAGAGAAGAAAGAAAUUGAGCAAGGGAAGUUGAGCUUGACUUUUCAAUUUUGGAGAUUCAAGCUCGAAAAGAUCAACACUACUCUAAGAUAAGCGCACUGGUCAAUCAGCCGUCCUUCAAUUUGCGCCAGUUGAAUAAUAUCAAUUAUCGAGCAGGUAGUCUUCCAUCUAUUAGAGUUUCUAUUUUCAUCCCAACAGUUUUACUUUUCUUACUUAUAUCAUAGCGUCAUUUGAAUUUUUACAUCAAUUGCAAAGAGCCGACAAUGAAAGAGACUGAUUGCUUCUUUCACAUUUUUGCAUGCGCGAUAGCAUAGUGAGUUUUAGUACGCAUGAUUGCAAGACCAAAUUUAUUGUCUCAUGGAAUUGAGUGAGAUUAAAAUUAAAUAAUCCUAACGAUCUAAUACUUUAACAAAUUAUCUUCAUGUAUUUCCUUUGUUCUUUGAUUUGGUCAAUUUUUGCUAUAGUGAAAAAAGAUUCUUUUGGUGCCGGUUUGCCAUGAGAAUCAAGAUACAAAUCAGCCUGAUCUUACGAAUUUGUAAGCGCAUUUGUGCAUUCACCUGUUCAUGUAAAAAUCUCUGAAUUGUUAUACCAGGUUGGCGAUCAUUACUAUUAUUUUCCUAUUUUUCCAUUCUCUCAUUUUUUUUUUUUGCUUCUCUUGUUAUCCUCUUUUAUGAAUUAAGGUUCCAUUUGUUUCACAAAAAUAAAUGAUUUGAAAAAUAUUUUCUUAAAAAUAAUCACUUAUAUUGCUUACAAAAAUAAAUUAACAAAAUAUAUUAUCAUUAUCUACGAAAAUAUUUAGACAUAAAUUAUUAUUUUAAAAAACCUUUUAUUGACUAAUUAUAUCAACAAUACAAGCAAUUAUUUUUUAAGAGGAUAUUUUCCAAAUUAUUCAUUUUUUUUGUGAAACAAGCAAAGCCUAAAUAUUGAUCUUUUUCUUCGCUCCUAUAAUCCUAUCAAAUCCAACAUCUAAUAUCUAACAACAGUAUUUUAUUUUUCAAUCUUCCUUCUUGUCCAUGUGUGAGCGCCUGAAAGGCUCUAUAAAUCCUUCCGAAGAAAGGCUCGCUCAUUACACAAUAAAGGUGGAUAUUGAACUACACUAAGUGCAGAUAAAUUGAAAACGAGUAAGAUAUAGUUUCUUUCACCUUUCACCAGUCCGUCACUUACUUCCUUCAGUCAUUUAUUUUCUUAAUUUUGAUCUUUACUUUUCAGAUUUUUAUUGAAAAUUACUUUGUAUAAACACGUCCAAAAUCAUGUUUCAAUUGUUACUUCUCUUUUUUUUAGCCGUAAUUUACUGUUUUUUGAUUUUGCACAAUAUUCAUUAAUGCUGAAUUACGUGCUCAAAAUAGCCAUGUUUAGAUCCGUGCACAACACGGGUACAAACACCAGCAUAUAAUACGAAAGCAGGGUAAAGUAGCCUUAUGUUAUUGCAUCACGAGCGGAAAUACUGUUAGUUCUCACCUUUCAUAUGAAUAAACUUGAUCGAUCCACGUACACAUGCAAAGCUCAUAAAUAAACCAAAUACCUUUCGACCAAAAAAAAAAAACCAAAUACCUUAAUUAUGCCACUUAGUCUUCCAACAUUAUAUUAUUUAAUUUGUUAAUUUGACUAUAAGUUGGUCUAAAUGACAAUAAAACAAAAGCUAAAUUUGCAAUUGAAAUUUUAAUUUGAAUUUUUAAGGUGUAUUAGUCCUAUAAGUGACAAAAUUAAUUCUUAUUUUCCAUUAAUUAUAGAGUGAGAGUAAUCCAACUAUGUAGUGCCGUUUCAAGUUAGCAACUAAGCAAUUAUGUUAAUAACAUAUUUAUACUUUUCUAGAUUAUUAAAAAAAUUGAUAGAUUUCAAGGUGCUUCUUCAAUUACGAUGAUAACAUUACCUGGGUGAUACAAUUAAAACCAAUUUUUUUUUCUAUCUUACAUUUACAUUAUCAUAUUUCAUUUCCGUUGUAAACAUGCGCAAGAAAUUAUAGAAAACAAAUUGUAUAGAUUAUUUAUACAUAUAAAAAUCACUACAUAAGAUCUUAGUACUUCGACUUGAAUAAAUUCUUGAGUCGAAGCCAAUAAUUAUUAGGUGCAAAUAAUUUUACUGAAAUCCUUACACUUUGUUCUUAUUCUUAAUGCCAUAAAGUAGAACCUGCAUAUAUUCGAUGAUGAUGAUCAAUGACGGAGUUCCUGUUAUUUGGUCAAAAAAUAUAAAUUAAUCGGCAUAAACUUAUAAAAAAACUUAUAUGCAUUUUAUAGUAUUUUCCGAUAUUAUCUUACUUAAAUGAUAUUUGAAUAAGUAAAUCUCCAAACCUGGGUAACACUAGGAUCUUCAACUUGCAGGGAAGUAAGAAGCACUGAAGCAGUACAAAACUGCUAGAAAAUGGUGUUAAGACAGCAAAAGAGCAAUAUAGACAGAGCUAAUAAUACCCAAUUUUAAUUCCCCUCUUCAGAGCCUUUUUUAUGCAUCAAGAGAUGAGCUGUGGAAUAGUCACGACUGCAAACUUUUCAUGAACUAAAUGCCAAAAUUGAAUGUAGCUUUGCCCAAGAAAAUGCUAACAACAUGUUGACAGUCAAAGAUGUAGAAUAAAAGAACAACGAGAAUAAUAACAUGAGGGAUUACCGUUAUAGAACAUGGGAGAGGCCAAAAGUAGACAUGAUUGUUACCUUGCUUCGUUGAACUGUUAUGGCUUUCUCGUCCCAUAGUCUGCUACACUUCCAAGGCUUCUUAUUUGCUGGACAGGCAAUAGCUCUACCUAAAUCUCUCAAUUGAUCAUGCAUUCUCAACUCAUUGUUAUCAUCAAUUUUCAUUAACGAAAGUUCAAUCAUUCUUUCCAAUCUGGAAUUUGGGCAAUAUUGGAGAUCCUCCCAUAGGUAGGUGGCAAAUAUUUUGUUAAUUCCAAUAAAAAAAGCAUGCUAUGUCUAGAAACAUUUGUUGUUCCUCGUAUUCUAAUGAAUCGUAACUUAUCCUCAACUUUUGUUGUACAUCCGUAUGAGGCACCUUCCUCAAUUUCACCCGUGUCUCUAUCCGUAUGCUUUGAUCUUUUCCUUUGAGAAAUGAACCUAUAAUCACGAGAGCUAAGGGAAGCCCUCCUGUGGUGGCAACAAUAUCACUAGAAAGAGCCGCGAGUUCUGAUGGAGGUUGUUCACCUUUGAAUGCAUAUCUACUGAAUAGGAGCAAAGAGUAUUUGAGAUUCAUUUCUUCAAGUUCAUACUCUUUAUAUUUAGACUUCAAGAGGGCCUUAUCUCGACAUGUAAUAAUUAUCCAACUUCCCGACUCGAAAGUACAACCUCCAAUCAAAUUGUUAAGAUGGUCUCGAUGAUCCACAUCAUCAAGAAAAAUAAGUACCUUCUUUUUCUCACAAAUACGUUGGAUCGGUUCAAUCCCAGAGAUGUGCUCACUAUGGCCACUUCUUUUUGUUAAAUUUGAUAUAUGUAGAGAUUGGACAUACUUGAUACCUUUGCUUUUAAUUGUUUCUCUAAUAUCAUUGAGAAAGCUACGGCACUCAAAUUGGUUAGAAAGCUUUUUAUAGAUGGUCGUAGCUAGAGUCGUCUUAUCGAUGCUGCCAAUUCCAUAAAUCACAAUAAUUUGAGCUUCAGAAUAAGCAGUAUUGGCUGAUUUCAUGGUUCGACUGUCUGCCAAAUUCAUAACCUUGGCAACAUGAUCAUCAAUACCAACCAAGUCCUUAGGAAGAGGUAGAAAUUCACGUUGAUGCUCGCUCAUUAUUUUUUUAACAAACUUUUUUACUAAUUUCCCUUCAUGCCUGUCAAACAAUAAAACAGGUGAGAACUUAUUAAUGGCUCCACAAAAUAAGGAUUAAGAAUGAUAAAUAGAAAGCUGUUCUUCCGACAAGGAUAUGUUAAAACAAGGUCGAUGACGUACCCAUUAGCAACUUUCUCUGAUUCGAUUACUUUACCAUUGAGUAAUUCUCUGAGAGCUACCAGCCCUUUUCGCUCGACCUCUUUGUCAAGUUUAUGCUCGUUGCGUCGAAACGCAUCUCCAAAGUGCCCCGUCAUGUAUUUUACAUCAUCGGUUGUCACCUUGUAAAACACAGGAUAGACUUUUUGUUUUGUUUUUUUUUUUUUUUUGGUAAAGGGUAAUGAUGACUUUUUGUUUUUUACUUUUCACACACUCCAUUAUUUGGUUGAUCUCGCAGAGGCACCAUUUGCUAGUAGCAUAAUUUUCUGAGAUAACUGGGAUUGAAACUUUAGAGCACUUGAUUGCAUUGAGAAGCGUUUCAAUUGGCUCGCCAGGGUCAAGGUUCUCAUCAUCUCUGAACACGAAAUUUGGAAGGUGCAGGCCCACUCGUACAAGUUCAUGGUAGAGGUGAUCAACGAAGCCUUUUUAAGUAUCAAGACCUCUAAAACUCAAGAAUACGUGGUAAUUGGUUCCAAUCACAUCGGCGUACGAAUCAGAUGGCUCAGAAUUCGCUUCGGACUCUGAUGGCUCAUCGAUCUCCUCUGGUGAGUCCGGAAGGGACGAUCCGCUCCCGCGCUCAUCCGAUGGUCUCUGUCGCUUCGAAAUGGUCGAGCUCGAAGCUUCAGCAUCUCGCUUGCGGUUCCCAUCAUCCAUUGCAGUGCACGCUCGCUCGCUCUCUCUCUCUCUCUCUCUCUCACAGAGACGCGACUACUAUGGAUGGAUUUGAGCGGGGAAUAAUUUUUGGGCUAUCUCUAUGCUACACUUAUAGCGGGGCAGGAAAAGAGGAAGAAGGGAAAGCAGGAGGCAAGCAUGAUUACUCGACUAUUAUGUAUAUUUUAAUCUCUCACAGUACGUCGGUCGUUUCAUGUAUUUCUUACAUUCACACGUGGAAUCUGGAGAUAACUUCAAAUUUGACUAAAAGCAACUCAGUCCUUGCCUCCUUGGGGUCCUCACUACCAUUGGCCUUGACAACCUUCCCCAUUGUUCCCAUUGGCUCUCAGGAGUCUCCAUUUUGUCGCGGAUUGAGAAUUGCGCUCGAAUGGAUCCUCCAACUCAUGAAUUAUGUCCCGAAUUGGACGUUACACUCCAUAUACGCGCCUCUUCCAAUAUUGUUAGGAUUUCGUCAGUGACCGCAGUAAGGUACUUGCUAAGCAAUCAAUCGAGAGAAAUUUAUAUUUUUCGUUAACUGUUCAUAUGUAAUGCAGAAUUUUAUUUGGUUAUCGCAGUAUUUAUACUCUCGUGUUAAAUGGAUAUGGAUGCAACAUGCUCUUAUGGGAGUGAGAUUUUUACUUUAGUGAAUGAACUUUCAUCACUCCUGAGCCUUCUAAAAAAAUAAGAUAAAAUGGGCCUUUUAUAUAAUUGACACGGAAUAAAAUUAAAUUUCUUCAACCCGCCAUUGAAUAAAAUCAGUUCCUUGCAUUAUCACAUGAAAGAUAGUGAAAGAUACAUCGAUCAGUACUUAUUAUUUGGACAAAUUUGAGUAGCACGUUGCGGUUCUAUGUCAAUUUACAGGAUUUUUCCUUUCUUUUUUCUUUUUAACAUUUGUAUUCUCUAUUUAAUGGAUAAUUUAUUAUAUAAAAAAGGUAUGAUUUACCCUCACCCCUUUUAAGGAUUUUCAUCUAGAAUUUAUUAAAUGCAUCUCGAACUAUGGAUUCAAAAUCAAACUCGGGCUCCGUAUCCACUUCCAUUUUUGUUCAUGAUCUGAUUAGUUUUAAGUGAAUUAAAACGCGAGAGAACAAAAGGAUAGAGGGGGUAAACAUCAAUUCUUCUUUUCCCCGAAACCGUACCCACGACGAAUCCCACCCCCACUGCGACGUAUUCGAGGGACCAUCCUAGUAUUUUUUUUUUUUUCGAUUUUCCGAAUUUUCUCUGGGCCAGAACAGAAAUUUCGGGAGCGGAACUAUGCAGUCACAAAUCACGCAUGACUUGUGCGGCAUGACUUGUGCGGCAUGAGUAAGAGUCUGACGUCAGAGUUCGUUUCGCAUUUUGAUUAACGAAAUGGUUUAUGUACCAAAGGUAUUUAAUUUUUUGUUGGACUAAAAAAAGAACAAAAAUCCGUUUGGUAACUUUUUAAUUCCUGAUAAUAGAUUUAAAACAAAAUCAAGAAAUUGAAAAAAAGUUACUUCUUUAUUCCUAGGAAUAACUCCAAAAUCAAGCCAAAUCAUUUUUUUUUCUCUUUUUCUUCAUUUAGCCGGUUGCAAAAAUAUAAUAAAAUUAUAUAAUAAAAUAUUAAAAAAUUAAAGAAAAAUUGAAAAAUAUAAUAAAAUUAUAACAUAAAAUUAUAUUAAAAAUAUGAUAAAAUUACAUAAUACAAGUAUUAAAAUAUUAAAAAAUUCAAAUUCAUAAAAAAUUUAAAGGUUGUAUUAAAUGCAUUUCUAUUCCUAGUAUAGAAUUUUUUAGCAGUUAUGAAAUGCAUUCAAAUGCUUAGAAAAUCAUCUAGGGAAUAGAAUAAAAAAGAAUCAUCUAUGAGUAGAAAUUAUUAUUUAAGAAAAGAAUGGUUACCAAAUACACCCUAAAACUCCCACAUAUCGGUAUCCUUAGUUUGAACUAAGAAGUUCCAUUUGUUACCGAAUCCUUUCGGAUGUUAAUAAUUAAAUAGUGAACACGUCAAAAAAAUGUCAUGAAGGCACCGAUCAAGCAUACUUAAUUUGGAAUGAUUUCAUAUUACUGAUGCUGCAUGACACAUGAACAGUUGACGGGAAAUGUAAUUUCCCUCGUCUGAUUGCUUAGCAAAUACUGUGAAUGCGGUCGCUGACCGAAUCCCGACAAAAUUGGGGGAGGCACGUAUAUUUAUUAUGAAAUAACUACCAUGAACUGAUGCAAUUGAUGUCAUUAGAUAAAAUAAAGUGGGUAAUUGACCUGGACUUAGUCGUUGCCUUCUAGGCAUCAUACGGUGAAUGGGAGUCAACAGACAUGAGCAGAUUUUAUUCUUAAAUAUACACCACCAAUUUCGUUAGCCCGUGCUACAGAUGGAGGAUCGUUUAUGGUUUGAAUUGUGUUAGUCUUUUUUGGCCACAAAUUUAAUAUGAUAUCCAAAAAAGGACACAGAUGAAAGAAAGAAAAGGACGUGGUAGCUAUAUUGCCGCUUCAAUUACAUUACCAAUAUACUGGCCUAUGGACUUGUGCUAUACACAGGAAAAAGACCCUGUGAAAUAGAUUGCGUGAAAUAAUUGUUCUAGGAGUCUUGAUCAUUAUGAGAGUGAGAGAUUUUCGUCACAUUAGAAGUAAUUACAUGCCCCAUGAACUAAAAGGGAAAAAUUUUAGGUUCAAUGAAGGUGGAAAAAUGAAAGGGAAAUCUUUACAGAAGAAAGUUAAGAUAAAUAUCAAUCAAGAGAGGGCCGAGGACGCAUUGACGACUAUUCGACUCCAGAGAAGCCUGAUUGCACCAAUCGAUUCGUUCUGAUAACUAUGUUGCUCCCACUACUUUGCAGCUCUUGCUCAUUUGAUUCUUGAUUGGAACAUCCUUAGUUUGGCGAUAUUCAUUCUGCUCCUGCUCUCCAUCGCAAAUUUCAGCACCAAAAUUUGCUCCACUUUCUCAGUUGAAGAACGCAACAAGUUUAGGGUUUGAAGAAGAAAAUAAAUUUAGCCCCAGUUCAUUAAUUGGUGGGCAAAUAACACACAUGGACAACAUAUUUCAGUACUAUUGUUGCUGAUUCACUUUAUCGGCAAGCCACGUCCAACAAUUUAUAAUAAAAUAAUAUUACGUCGGAUUUUUCAGCUACACGAAUUGCCAACUAAAGCAAUCAAUCUUUCAUGUGAAUGAUACUCAAGUAAUUGAGAAAAUAAUUAUGUUAUUAAAGUGAGUGUCAUUAGAAAAUUAAGAUAAUCAUAGUAUUCUUAUUUCAAUUUGCAAUUGAAGGUAUUGAGCAUUUACAACUUCAAAGGAAUUUUUUUGACCAAAAAGGAACAACUUUUUUUUUUUUUUUUUAUUCCAUGAUCAAUCGACCUAUAAAGUAUAAACAGGUGAGGAGACGCAUCUCGUAAUCUCGCGGACUCAGAUUGUUCUUUGCGGGCUCCUUGUUUUUCCUUGAAAUUUCCCCGCUAUUUUUUUUCCUUUUUCUUUUUUUGGACUUCUAUGGCUUUCUCUGACAUUGACAAGGGAAGAUGCAAAUCCUAAGUGCGUUCCCAGUCGCUCGAUAUAUGCAUUAUGUACAUCGGCGACAAAGACAUCCCACCGAUCUGAUUUUCGGGUGGCCUUAUCGACAUCUUCGUGAAGAAUCCACCUACUUGAGUUUUAAAAAUAAUAAUAAUAAAUUUUAAACAAGAAAAGAAAACAGAAAAAGGGAGGAUGCAUAUACAAAUAUUAUUGAUUGAUAAUCUUCAGUGGAGCAAGCGACAAAAUUACAUAUCAUAAACAAAAUUGAUCUAGCUGUACAGAAGUAAGUGCGUGCCGAUAAUUGGCUAAUGUGACGCCGAUAAUACCGGUGAUUAUGUCACGCGUAAGAUCGACGACAGGCCAUAUGUUUAGCCUUGGUUCGAGAGUCACCUCGUGGUGCGUCAAAAGACAGCCGAUUGUGUCGUUGUCGACAACUGAAGCCGAGCAUCGAGCUGUAUCCGUGGCAGCUCAAAAGCACCCCUGGUUAGCGCAAUUGCUGAAGGAUUUGCAGUAGAAAAUUAAUGAGUGCCUCGUGAGACUAUACAAUGACGAUCGAUUGGCGAUUCGACUAAUAGAGAACUGAGUGAUUCAUAUGAGAACGAAGUACAUGGAAGUCCACUGUCACUUUGUGGGUGAGAAAGUAGUGGGUGGAGAGAUUGAAAUGAAGUUCACCAAAACAAAUUAACAAGUUGAAGAUAAUUUCAUGGAGGGACAUAUCAAGAUCCAAGCUGGCAGAAUUUCAAAAUAGUUGGGCAUCACAAACAAGCUGCAUUAGAAAUCAUAGAUUGAUACUCGCGCUGGUGUCACCUGGGAGGCACGAAAUGAAGUUUUCAUCGGCCAAAAUAGAGAGUAGAAAAAGCACGGUAUCAAAUAGUAUAAGCAGCUUUUGACAGAUUUUGAAACAGGAUCUGUUUAUAGUUGCUGUUUCAAAGCUUCAUUCGCUAUGAGUUAAGCCAAUUUUGGAAAGUCCCAGUUACUCCAAUGUGAAUAUCUGGAUCCCGAAGUGGUUUGCGCGAAGUAGUGUGUUCUGCCAAUCUUUGCCUUCCUCUGCUAAUAACCGCUACCUACAAAAGGCAUCCUUCCAAGGUCCCUAGGCAACGGAAAUGGAACGGGAUUCGACGAGCAUGUUAGCUGUUUGAUUAAGAGAGGAAGUUGUGCACUUUCAGAUGCAUUCUAUAAGCUACUUGCUUAGGUGGUCCAGUUAGGAACAUUCUGGGAAAACUACAAUCCUUCGGUAAGAAUAAGUUCCUUCAAAGUCUCUAGCACUAGAGAAAAAUUUUCAUAAAAAGUUACUGAUGAUGGGAGCCUAGAUGACUGGCACUCAUUCUCAUAUACAAAUGUUAUUCUACUAGCUAUAGAAAGAUCCCUUGUUAAUACGAGCCUAUUGACAAAAACCAUGCUUUCAUUGGUAAAAUUACUAAACAUUAGUAUCCCCAAAGGAAUGGGCAUUUGAGGAAAAUCAUCAUCUUGCACGUACUUUAUUUAAAUGAUAAUCAUUCAAAGUUAUGCCUUUCAAGGGGUAAAAUUGAAAUGAUUCUUUUAUGGCUGUCUUCCAAUCUUUUAUGUAUGUCAUUCACACGUUAAAUCUGGUCUGAUCUUAUUUUAAUGUGCUCGGAAAAGAAGGAAAUGAAUUUUCUCAGUUCGUUUAGACAAAAGGCAAAAUUAGGUGGGUUUCAUGCACUAUAUUCAAAAUUAACGCAACUUGGUCGGCAAGUUGGCAAGAAAUUUUAAAGUUGGUUCUCAUCAUAUUUUAAUAACGAUGAUGAAGACAAACUGCAGAGUUGGCAAGAAAAGGACCUGCGCAGCGAUAUCAAAUUGACUUUAAUCUGCUUUUUAUUCAGCUAAAGUUGCAUCAAAUUGACUUUAAUCUACUUUUAUCCCGCUAAAGUUACAUCAAAUUGACGUCCAUUAAUAUUUUAUCCAGCUAAAGUUACAAGUUUCAUCAAACUGACACCUAUUAAUUUGUUUAUUCCAAAGAGCAGGUACUAAAAGUUACGUGUGACCCAUUGAAGUCUUUGUUUGAUGUUUUCUUUUGAGCAAACUUCCAGCUGUCGUUCGGUGGCCAUUAAAUAAUUACCAAAAGAAAGAACUGUAUCUUCCUGGAUUUUUUUCUUUUUUGGUAAAUUGGGAUUUCGGAUCUUCAUCAUUUGUGCUUUUGUUGACUGAUUUGAUCAGUCACAAUUGUAUCCAUGAAAUCCAGGUGAGCACUCGGCACAAGCGGUAGCAGCUAGGGGUUUGCAUGGUCCGAUAGGCGGUUUCCAACCUAGAAUCGGGAACCUCCCGCUAAAGAACAGUUCCAAAAAAUUGGAAUCGGAAAUCGUCCGCUAGUUAUAUGGAUCCAUCCGAGAACCGGACCGCCGAUCUGAUUUGGUUUCCAAGUGGAUCUAUGAAACCGGCCUCACCAACAAUAAUAUCUUUUUCCAAAUCUUGCCGAGAGUACUUUUCAUAUCGAGUUAUAUUUUUCUUUAACUCGAACCGACUUAAUUAAAGGUACCAUUUUUCUUUAUUUUAUUGGAAAAUACUACCAAAUAAGAGAAAUAGGCUUUUUCCUAUUUUUGAAUCAUUUCAAUCAAAAUCUAAAAUAUUUUUUAAGUUCAAAGUUUUGGAUAAUUGUCAUUUGUAAAUAGUCUUUUCCUUUAUCCCCUAACAAUGUUCAAUCUCUUACAACAUUUGCUUUACUGAAUUAUUUUGGUAGAAACAAUUUCACCGGUACUCCACAUAUUCUUAAAUACAUUGUCCUAUGUGUGUCCUGAAAAUAUCAUUUGAAGGAGCCAUUUGUUGAGUUGCUGAAAGGCAGCUUAUACACUUUACUAAAUUCUUAUAAAAACAUGGAAACCAUGAGAGGAGAUGGAGUCCUAAAAUUUAGAUUUGCUAAUUAGUAAUUUUGAAAUUUAUUUUAAUAUUAAAAAUUAAUAUAUUAUUAUAAUAUAAUCGAUCUGGUCCAAGUGGAUGGAUUUGCCUAUGGAACUGGAAACCGGAACGGUAUCCACCGGUGUCCAUUAAUUGGAACCGAGAACUGGACUAGUUCCCUCAAGAACCACGAGUUCCAAGCGGUUCCGAUUUGGUUCCGAGCAGUCCGAGCAAGUCCCGAUUAUUUUGCACACCCCUAAUAGCAACAUCAUUUCCUUUUUGAAAUCUCUCCUCUCGCAAAUCUCGCCUUAAAUUCUUCAAUUCAAUAUCUUUUUUAUUUUGUGAAAUAUUACCUCAAAUUGAUUAAGAAAAUAAAGUAUUGCUCUGAUUGAUUGAUGAAGUGACUAUUAUGUCUAAUUAGAUAUAACUUAGUAAUUUAUGUUUGGGAGUAAGUUAAGUUAGGUGAACCUUGCAUUUAGUCAAAACAAUAGUAAGAUUUUCUUGAAAAUAAUGGAUGCAUAUGGCGUAUAAAAAAGGGACAAUUUCACCAUUGGUCACCAAUAUUCUUGAUGAAAGUUCAAUUUGAUGGCUGAAACUUUAAUUUUGUUUAAUUUCGCUAUUUAUUCUUUGAAUUAGAUCAAUUUAAUUCCUCUAAUCAACUUAAUCAUGUUGGCCCCUAAUGUGAUAAUUCAUCUCCAUCGUGAGACCUGCCAUCGCUAGCCUGAUUGGGCUAUCUAGAGCCACAUCAGCAAAAUCUAGAAACCAAAUGGGGAGAGAAUUGGGGGAGGGAGGGAUAAGUAGGCGAUGGGAGAUGGGCAAUGGUGCUCGAUUCCUAAUUUUAAAGCAAUAUAGAUAUUGGAGUAAGUUGAUCUCAAAAUUUUUCGAGUAUGUGGGUGAAGAAGUGAGUUAAUUACUUUUAGUUAAAAUAAAGUGAUAAAGUUUGAAAGAAGAAAAUAAAAUCUUAAUGGAUUUGUUUAUCCAUAAGCUUAUGGCAGGUAAUAUGGUACGAGUACAUGAAUUUCUUUCAAGUCAAUUGAUGUCUCGGGUAUAUGCUCAUGUUGACUUCCAUUAAUAUUUUAUCAAGCUGAAGUUACAAGUUUCAUCAAAUCGACACAUCAAAUUUUUUUAUUCCAGAGAGUAGGUGGUGAAGUUACGUACGACCGACUGGGGUCUUUGUUUAAUAUUUUCUUUUGGGCUAACUUGCAAGAGUAACUCCUCAUCAUAUAUAUUAAUCGCAACGGUGAAGAAAAACUGUAGAGUUGGCACAAAAAGGACUUCCUAGCGUCAUCAAAUUAACGUCCAUUAAUUUUAUAUCCUAAAGAGUAGGUACUGAAGUAAUGUAUGACCAUGACCAAUUGGAGUAUUCCUUUAGUGUUUUCUUUUGGGCUAACUUCCAUGAGUAGGUUCUUAUCUCGUAUAUUAAUCACGACAACGAAGAAAAAUUGCAGAGUUGGCACGAAAAGGACUUCCCGGCGACAUCAAAUUGACGUCCAUCAAUUUUAUACCC